AUUUAAACUGCUUAAUUCUUAAAAUCCAUGUAGAUGCUCUUUAAUUUAGAGCUUGGAUGUAAUAAGUCUAACAGGCUCUUCCUCUUUUGUCAUUUUCUUUAUCUCCUGUUCAAACCUUUCCAUGACUGGCGGAGGCAGGCAUAUAGGUAUAACAUUCCCUUCUUCUCCUUUGCUGUUCCUGAACCGCGCACAGAAGCUAAUAAUAGAUAUAGCCCUAGCAAGCCCACUAUAGACGGGCUUCCCCCACCCGAAGUCGAUCUCUCCAGACCCGUCACGCGUGACAUCUGCAACCAUAUAGUUCCCCGGGUGCAUAAAUGAGGGCCGGCCCUUGAUGACCAUAAGAUCUGCCACUGAUUUAACGUACUCCUGACUCAUUUCCGCCUUGGCUUUCUUCACUAACCUUACCGCAUAUUCCAAUGGAUUUUUACAUAGCAUUCCAGCCUUAGUAAUUGAAGCUGGAGUCACAACAGCAUUUCCAUAGUAUCCUGGAGGCAGUUCGAAACCGCGCUUGCCUCGCAUACUGAUUGAGCAAAUAAUGCGAACAACCUCAUCAGGGUCUACUGCAAAUGCAAUUGUGCGGCAUCUCCAUACACAUGCUGUUAGAACCUCAAAUGUCGUGCUGGCACCGAGGCUUGCAGGAAGUCGGUUCCUAAGUGCUCUUAUCUCCUUGGGGCCAAAGAAGAAUGAUCGAUGAACCAAAUUAUUUUCGUCCAUGGCCAUUAGUGUGCCCUUGGUGUUGGUUACCUCCUCGUAUUCAUGAUGUAUACAGGUUAUUCGUGGUGGAUUUCGGGCAUUUAACAGCUCUCUUUGCCAUAUGGGUAGCAGAGAUGGCACAGACAGACCUUGAGCCAUCUCGCUUAUGGCGUUGAGGAAUUGGACCAAGCCAGGAAUACCACUCAUUGUGUGGUUUAGGCGCAAUGCAAAUAUAAAUCCUCCACACCUCAAUCGGGUCACCUGCAUUGUACCAAGAUUUCUUUAUCAAUAUAUACUUUAGCAACAUCCAAUGAUUUGUCUCAUUAAACUUAAUACUUAUUACUUAAUAACUUAAAUUUAUUAAGUUAAAUUAUUUUUAAAUUGUUAACUUAAAACUUAUUAUCUAAAUAUUAGGUUAUUUGAUAAAAUUUAUUUAAAAUCAUCAAAUUGAUAUAUUUAUCCUCAUUAAUUUUUAUUAGUAUUUAUUCUAAUUGACUUUAAUUUAUAUUUGUUUUCAUUAAUUUUAAAUAAUAAAUAUAUUUAAAAAACAUUCAUAUUUAUUUUAUUAUAGAUAUAUAAAAAUAAUCAUAAAAUAUUUAUUACAAAAAGUGGUUUCAAAAAGUUAUUUUUAGUAUUUUAGAAAACUAAAUGUUUUGACUUUUUCUAUUUAGUUAAAAAAUUAAAAAAUAAGUAAUAAGUAAAAAAAAUUAAAAGCAAAUCAUCUACAAUGUGAAAGUAAAUUACAUUCCACAUUAAGUUUAAUAAAAUAAAUAAAUAAAUCAAAUACCAUCUGAGUUAAGUAUUUUAAUUUAAUACUUAAAAUUAUUUAAAUAAAAAUAACUCUAAGUUGUAAGAUUAAGUUAUUUUACCAAAUAUCAUUGAUAAUGAAGAAUAUUUACCUGAAUUAAGACAACAGGGGAACCCAGAAUUCCCCCGGAGCCAGGGACAUCAUACAGAAGCUCCUCGAAGCAGGGACACAUUGGUUGAAUUGCAUCACCAAGAUUCUCAAGUGUGGUAUCGGCAUCGGCUUCAAUGAACAAGACCCCUUCACCGGUGCAGUCCACCAUGAGUUUUCUAUUAUCCCCUUCAAUCAGCCUGCCUGCAAAUGGGUAGUAGUAUACAAGCGCCUUACCUAGAGCUUCUCUAAUGACCUUUACAGGGUCUUUUCCUUUCAUUAAAGGAUUGUUCGGGUAAAACAUUAUCACAGGAAUUUGAAAGCGAAGGCCUUCUUGAUCAUCUAUAUCAGAAAGCUGCUUCAACUCUCGUGGGGUAGGGUUUGUAGGCCGAACAAACUCUGGAUCACACCGUUUAACCGAGAAUACUAGAGGAGAUGAUGACGACGCCAUGUCCUUCCAGGCAAGGAGUUUGUUGAUGGAAUAUAGAAACAAUGAUAAGAGAAAAUUGCAGGAUUUUAUGUGAUGGUCUGCUUUGAGAAGAAGGUAGCUGAUAUUUGUAGUGUACGACAAUAAUGUGUUUCACGUGUAUUUUUGCUCAACCUACGACACGGUUUAGAUAAGGGGUAGAAUUUUAAUCGUGUUUCACGUGUAUUUUUCUCUCCAGGCCCCUGGAAGCUACAACACCGUCUAGAUAAGAAAUAAUUGGUUAGAAGGGACGAAAUACUCCUCAUAUUUGAGAAUUUAUCCCCUCUUAUGUUUUUGUUCAAAGAGUAAUCUAUUUUUGACAUAAAUGCCCUUAACCAUUUCAAGUAUUUACAUUUAAAAGAAAGGGUUAUUUUCACAAGAAAAAAUAAGGAUAUUUUUAUGAAAAUGAGAUCAAAAAAUGAUAAAGGGUUAGAUUUUCAAAAUUGGGUUCCCAAUGACCCCUUUAAUCAAACAACUCUUUAGAUAAUAGGUAGAAUUUUGGGUGUAUGAUCUUUCGUUAAACGAAGUUCUGAUACCAUAUUAAAAUAUUAAUUUUCUAAAAAAUUUAAGCUUAUAGAGUUGAGUUCACAAUAUAUAUCAUGCUCUUUUGGUACCUUUUAAACAUGUUUUAAAUCUUUUGUUCAAAAUAAUCUUUUUCUCUUUUUUCUAUUCAAAAUUUACGGUCUCAAAUGUAGUUUAUGGCAUUUUCAAAAUUUAUGGUCUCUUUUGGUUAAUUUGAACAAGAUUAUGAAAUUAUGGUUUUUUUUUUUUCUGAUAAAAUGAAAAAAAAAAAAAAAAACUCAAAUGAGCUAUAAGAAAAUGACCAUUUUGACUCAAAAUUCCACGUGGAAAGUAUUUCAUUUACUUAUCUCGGACCACAGGAUAAGGUGGCUGCGUGUGAAACUAUGUGGUCUGUAUUCGAUGAUGUUUGAUAUCAUGGUGUAGGACUUGUCAGCGAUCCGCACCAAGAUAUCAACCAUACACCUGCCAUGCAUUAAUUGAUUAAGAAGGUUUCCCAUUCAAAAACCACAAAAAAUAGAGCGGUUGUUGAUGUUGAGUUAUCAUUUGACAAAACGUGUAUAGCCUGAAUCGCCUUACUUUCUUAAAAGAACAUGUGAAACAUUCACUUGCAGCACGACCAAACGUGUACUAGUUGUAUGCUGUGGCCUGAAUUACCUUACUUUCUUAAAAGAACAUGUGAAACAUUCACUUGCAGCAUAGUAGUGUAAAGCACGACCAAACGUGUACUAGUUGUAUGCUGUGGCCUGAAUUACCUUACUUUCUUAAAAGAACAUGUGAAACACAACAAAAAUUAUUAUUUUUUUUAUCAAUUUUUUUUCUUUUGUUUUUCUUUCCUCUACAUUCUUUUAAGAACCAAACGUAAAAUCAAUUAAUUAUACAUAUAUAUACACACACAAACAGACUCAUUGCAAGAGGAUAGAUCAUCUCAAGCCUCUUUAAUUAUUAUAGAAUAUAUGUAUCAUGCCAAAGACCCCUCUAAGGGCGUGACUAUCAUUUCAAACCUCAAGCUCGAAAACUCAAAGGGCAAAUGACUCAAACAAUUAUCUUGUAACUAGAAGAUCACUAAUUACUAAAUUCUUACUCAGAGUAGUAAAAUAUACUAUAAUUCUCAAAAUUUAAGUCCUAACAACUUCAAACUGAAAUGGUUCAAACAGCAAUUAAUUUCUAACAUUUAAACACUGUUCAAAAAUAAAGUUUAAACCAAAGCCCUAAUAGAGACAAAUUCCUGGCCUAACUAUCACUCCUUGCUUGAAUUGAAAGUAAUUGAAAAAAAUAAUCAGUGGAAGAGAAUGAGUUCAAACCCAAUAAGAAAUAUUAAUAUAGUUUCAUGGUUAAAACAUUUUCAACUAUGAUUACAAAUAGGAGGUAUAAUGUACAAUUUUUUAUUUUUUUAUUUUUAUAAAAACUUUGAAUUCAAACAUGCUAAAGCAUCCAAAACUUUUCAACCAAACAUUUUCAUAUUUAUGUAAAUAACAAUUUCAUAUUAAAUCUAAAUGAAAUGCAUUCAAAAUAUUUUUACUCUAAUUAUCAAAUAACAAAUGUUGCUUGAUUAGGUGAGACUUUGUUGCCCAAUUAGGUGAAACUUUACAAAUUGGAGGCUAUCCUUAAAUUUGUUCUUUUUAAGGUGGAUGGAACCAAAUAUUACUAAUGCUAAUAACCUCUAACCUAAUCCCUAGAGGAUGUGGUUUAAAACAAAUACAUUCCCUACCAAGAAAUAUAAAGGUCGAAUAAUUAUAACCUGUUGAUUAAGGCCAAAAAGGUCAAUAAUUAUAACCCAUUGAUUAUGGCAAAAAAUGUCAACAAUAUAACCCGUUGACUAGAACCAAAUAAACCAAAGUCAAACACCUUGUUUCAUUUAUUAAAACUUACAAAAACAUUAUAUCUUCAUUUUUUUAUUAUAAACAAAAGAAAAUGUUCUUACAUAUUUUUCAUGCAAAAUAUAAUUCAUCCAUGCGUAGAAACAAAAAAUAAUAUUUUACAUAAUUCAAAAUAAAAGAUAAAAAGAAAUUAUUUUCUCUUAGAAAAUCUAUAUUAAUUUCUCCUACCUCAAAAAGCACUCAAAACCCUUAAAAAAAAUUAUUAUUGAAGAAUCUAAUUUUCACCUAAAAAUAAUAUAAGAAAUAACAACUAUUACUACUACCUAUUUAUCUGAAAUUAUAAGUUUGACAAUCUAAAUAAUUUUCUAUGUUAAUAUUAUUACCACUAUUUUUAUUUUCAACUUCUGAAUCAAUAAUAAUUUAAUAAAUGAGUUUCCAAAAUUUCAUAAAAGUUGCUUCAUUUCCAAAAUCCAUUCCCAAGAGUACAUAUAUAAUAUAUAUGUAUAUAUAUCUUCUUUAUUUUUUUGUCCUUCUCAUAUUUUUUUUCUUUUCUUUUCCCAUCUCCUAGUUUCCACAUAGAACUCCCCAUCUCUUCAAUCUUUACACACAACACUACAGAUACCACACUUUCUCUACGUAUCAAAUGCACCAUUUUUUUUUUCUUUCCACUAAACAAAGGAUAUCCCUCUUUAGACCUAGAUUAUGUUUUGGAUUCUUAAUUAGAAAUAAUACAAUAUCUGCAGGGAAUUAUGGUAUCUUUAAGGUGACACAAAAUUUUCGGAAUGCAUAAACUAGGGCAUGCAUCCCAUUGGCGGAUGGUUGAAUUCAACUUCAUCUUGUUUCUGACAUCCUCGUUGGUAAUAUUUAACAGCUCUUCCGUCAUGGUUUUGGAGGUACAAGUACAAAGUUUUUGAAGAUGCAAAUUGGGAUUAGUGCCACACUUUGAGAUGUUUCCUAAGCAAUCCUUGAGAACACUUAUAGAACUCACUAUAUUUGAAGUUGUUAAAUCAACCUUCCUGAACCAAGUUAGCAAUGCUACAUGACACAAAAACUAAAAAUAAUUAAAGAAGGAACACUAGUCCCUUUCACAAUUGUUUCGUUUCUGUUAUUCGAAACAAAAAAAUAGGAAAACACGUUUGACAAUCAGAAAAUUGUUUUAUAUUUUUUGUUCUUAAUAAUAGAAAAUAGGGUGUUUUCAGAUAACAUAUUUUAAUUAUUUUAAGUUGUUUUUAUGUACUUUUUAAUUACUAUUUUAAAAAAUAAUUAUACAAAUUAUGAUUAAAAAUAAAACAUUAGAUUUAGAAAUUAUUUUUAAAACAUAUUUAAAAAAUAUUGAAAACAUGUUAAAAAUAUUUCAAGUUUCUAAAUAAAAUUUUGUUCUAUAAAAUAUUAGAGAACAAUUUUCAAAAACUGUUCUCAAAAAUUGCUUUUCAGAAUUGUCCUUGAUUUUAGCACUAAAUACACUCCCCAUGUUAGAAGAAUAUGCUUAACAUUUCACAAAUUACAACACCUAGGGCUAAAAAAAUUUAUAAUCUUAAAACUUUUUCAACAACAAUGCAAUAGAUUCCAUCUUUCCUAUUCUCUUGACAACCAAACAAAGCCUAAGACUCCUUUUUUUCUUCACUUUAAAAAAGCAAAAUAACUAAUAAAUAAAUAACAUUUUCAAUUGAAGAAAAAAAUAAAAUCACGUAAUAUUAGAGAGAACAGGAAUAAAUUGUGAGUACAAUCAACAACACAAAAUCUUGAAGGAAUUGGCCAAAUUGGAUGACAUAUUUCUCGAAAACAAUGCAUGAAACAAUUUUUAGGCCCAUACAGAAGAAAAUUUCAGCAACAUAGAACUUGAUCCUUCCUAGAAUGAAUAUUUACAAUAUUUGUCUGUUGUAAACUGUAGACAUAAUGCAAUUCACUCACAAUAUGAGAAUGAGCCUUAUUCAAUUCAAAAAAAGCUAUGGGCUUAUAUAAGCCUUAUAAAAGAGAUUAAAGAGGAAACAAACAGCCCAUGUAAGAACGUGGUAAAUGGCUAAGGAAAUAGUCAAAUCCUACCAACAUGUCCCAAGAAAUAGGAACUAUUAACAGAAUGAAAUUCUAACAACUUUGACUACUUUAACUGAACAUCCCAACAAUUCCUCCCCUAAACUGAUUGCAAUAAUGCAUUCAGUUGUUAAAGUUGACUACUUUAACAACUUUCACGUGUAUUUUUGCUCAACCUACGACACGGUUUAGAUAAGGGGUAGAAUUUUAAUCGUGUUUCACGUGUAUUUUUCUCUCCAGCCUCUGGAAGCUACAACAGCGUCUAGAUAAAAAAUAAUUGGUUAGAAGGAACGAAAUACUCCUCAUAUUUGUGAAUUUAUCACCUCCUAUGUUUUUUUCAAAGAGUAAUCUAUUUUUGACAUAAAUGCCUUUAACCAUUUCAAGUAUUUACAUUUAAAAGAAAGGGUUAUUUUUACAAGAAAAAAUAAGGAUAUUUUUACCAAAAUAAGAUCAAAAAAUGAUAAAGGGUUAGAUUUUCAAAAUUGGGUUCCCAAUGACCCCUUUAAUCAAACAACUCUUUAGAUAAUAGGUAGAAUUUUGGGUGUAUGAUCUUUCAUUAAACGAAGUUCUGAUACCAUGUUAAAAUAUUAAUUUUCUAAAAAAUUUAAGCUUAUAAAAUUGAGUUCACAAUAUAUAUCAUGCUCUUUUGGUACCUUUUAAACAUGUUUUAAAUCUUUUGUUCAAAAUAAUCUUUUUCUCUUUUUUCUAUUCAAAAUUUACAGUCUCAAAUGUAGUUUCAUUACAAUUCUAAAACCACAUCACAUUUUCAAAAUUUACGGUCUCUUUUGGUUAAUUUGAACAAGAUUAUGAAACUGAAAAGGAUUAGUUUGAACAACAAUUUGAAAAAAAAAAAAAAAAAAAACUCAAAUGAGCUAUGAGAAAAUGACCAUUUUGACUCAAAAUUCACGUGGAAAGUAUUUCAUUUACAUAUCUCGGACCACAGGAUAAGGUGGCUGCGUGUGAAAGUAUGUGGUCUGUAUUCGAUGAUGUUUGAUAUCAUGGUGUAGGACUUGUCAGCGAUCCGCACCAAGAUAUCAACCAUACACCUGCCAUGCAUUAAUUGAUUAAGAAGGGUUCUCAUUCAAAAACCACAAAAAAUAGAGCGGUUGUUGAUGUUGAGUUAUCAUUUGACUUAAGUUGGAUUAAACUAAUGGGGGGUAAAUAAAUAGAGAAGUGUAAACUUGAGAUCAAAGUUUGGAUUCUAAUUAACAAUUUAACUUAAAAAGUAAUGGACGUAUGAUUUGACUUUUUAAUCACAUAUCUCAAAAGUAUAAAGGUAGUGUUUAUUUUUGACUAAAUAAAAAAAAUCAAAAUAUUGACUUUUUUUUUUAUUAAACUAAAAGUAAUCUAUUGAUAUUAAUCAAUAUAACUAAACUAAACUUAUUGAUAACAAGUUCACUUUAAUUAUUUUGGCUAAUAUAAUUCACUUUAAUUAUGCGGAUUAAUAUGAACAUAUUACUUUUAACAAAAUAGAAAAAAUAAUAUAUUUUUACUUUUUUUAUUCAAUAAAAAAAUAAACACUAUCAAUUUCACAACCAAUAAUUGAAAAUAAACAACUUAUGCCUUAUUUGGUAACUAUUUUUUAAAACGGUUAUUAAAAAAUAGUUUUUAAGAAUAGUUUUUGAAAACUGUUCUCUAAUGUUUUGUAGAAGAACCUAAAAUUGUUUUAAACCUGUUUUUAAUAUUUUAAAUACGUUUUAAAAAUAAUUUUUAUGUCCAUAUCUUUAUUUUUAAUCAUUAUAUAUGUUUAUAUAAUUAUUCUUUAAAAUAACUCUCGAAAAACAACUGAAAAAACUAAAAGAUGUUAUCUAAAAACACCCUAUUUUUUGUUUUUUUGAUAAUAGAAAACAAAAAGAAAAUAGAAAAUAGUUUAUGAUUGUCAAACAUGUUUUUCGGUUUUUUUGUUCUAAAAAAGAAAAAACUGCUCUUGAAAACAGUUGUCAAAUAGAGCCUUAAAGUCUUAAAGCAAAUUGUUUUCAACAAAAAACUAAAAAAACAAACAUCCUCCAACCUUUUUUUUUUUUUUCACUAAUGAACCAAUAGAUUUUUAAAAAGGAAGAAAAAUAAAUGAUGAAUAAUUUUAUCAUUUUUCUCAAUUAUUUAUCACUUUUUAUGUAAUUGUUUGUUUGUUUUCGGUUCUAGUACUCCAAUAAACAAUAACAAGUGAAAAAAAAAAAAAGGCAAGGAAAGUUGAUAGAAUUUUUUUUUUUUUUUUUUUUUUAGGUUUCUAGGAAAAAGUUGAUAAAUAUAAAAAUUAAAUCUUUUAGAAUGCCCUUUCCCCAAACAUUCAUCACCUUUUUUAUAAGAAAAAUGGGAAAGGAAAUCGGUUAACAUUUUCUUCUUUUCUUACAUAUUUUCCAUCUUUGGUUCCUUAAAAGAAUAAAUAAUAUAUAAUAAAUGAAAAAGAUGAGAAAAAUUUAUAAAGUUUUUCAUUUUUUUUUUGUUAUUUAAGGAAAAGUUGAGAGAGAAACUAUUUACUCUCACGUUCAAUAGUUCUGCAAACUUUUCUCACUUUUUUUUAUUGGAAAAUGAGGAUAAUAUUUUAAAUCUGUUUGAUAACUGAUAUUUAUAGUCUAAUGGUGCACUCCAAUAAUGUGGCACAAUAUAUGUCAUGCUCAUUUGAUGGAAUAUAAUUUAUUUAUUUUUUUAAUAAUUUGAGAAAAGGGAUUCCUUUGAACAAUAAUUUGAAAAGAAGAGUAAAACGAGCUAUGAGAAAAUGACCGUUUUGACUCAAAAUUCCAUUCCACGUAGAAAGUAUUUGAUUCACAUAUCUCUGACCACAGGAUAAGGUGGUUGCGCGUGGAAGAUAUCAACCAUGCACCACCUGCCAUGCAUUAAUUGAUUAAGAGGGGUUCCACUUCAAAAACCACAUAGAGCGGUUGUGGAUGUUAAGUUGUCAUUUGACUUAAAUUAGAUUAAACUAAUGGAGGACAAAGAAAUAGAGAAGUGUAACUUGAGAUCAAAGUUUGGAUUCUAGUUAACAAUUUAUAUAAAACAUAUUAUAAUAAUGUUUGUUUUAUAUAAAUGUAUUUUAAGGGCUAUUAAUUAUUUAUAUAACUCUUAACAAAUAUUCAUUAUAAAAAUAGUUAGGGAAGAUUUAGGAAUUAUUUAGAAAAUAUUUUGAGGUGAUCACGUUUGAAAAAGUAAAAGAAAAAAAAAAGGUAAUGGGGUGUCCAGGCUUGAAAGUCUGAAUGCUUUUAAUGAUGUUCAAAACUAUAAAGUCGAAUGGAUAUUCGAAGGUAUAAUUUCAUAUAUUUUAAAAGCCAUCCAACCCUACAUAUAUUUUUAUUCAUUUUCCAUUUUCAAGUGCUAAAAAAUAAAUAUAAUAAUUGAUAAAAGUAUCUAUAAUUUUAUAAAUUUUACAUACUUUUAAAACAUGUGAUAUUAUACCUUUAGAUAUCCUUAAAAGUGUUCGACUUUGUAAUAUAUAUAUAUAUAUAUAUAUAUAUAAAUUCUUCCAUUUUCCAGUGCUAAAAAAUGAAAAAAAAAAUUAUAAAGAUGGUAAAUAUGCACUUUUAACAUCAUCAAAUAUUAUUUAUUACAAAUGUUUUAAAAUAUUUAUUAGGAUUACUAAGAGAUUGAAAAGAAAAAAUGGGAGAAGAAAAACAAGAAGAUGAGUAUGCAUUAAUUUGAAAUGGGGUGUUUAGUCUUUCACUAAUGGAUCCUUGUAUUUAAAAAAAAAAAAAAAAGUGAUACUUAAAGAAAUUAGUGGAUACAAAUAUAAAUCAAAAAGAAAAAAAAAAUCCCAAGAUUCUAAAAUGUCAAAAUCACCUUUAUGCUCAUUUUGUUCAAAAGUCUAUAAAGUCAUCUAAUUAUCUAAUUUCCCAAUACCCCCUCCAAGGGCGUGACUAUCAUUUCAAACCUCAAGUCCUAAGACUUAAAAGUGCAAAUGACUCAAACAAUUAUCUUGUAACUAGAAGAUCACUAAUUACCAAAUCUUAUUUAGAGUAGUAAAAUAUACUAUAAUCCUCAAAAUUUAACUUCAGAAAAGCUAACACAUCAACUACUUUGCUAUUGUCCUAACAACUUCAAACCCAAAUGAUUCAAACAUAAUUAAUUUUUAACAUUUAAACAAUGUCCAAAAAUAAAGUUUAAACCAAAGCCCUAAUAAAGACAAAUUCUUAGCCUAACUAUUAGUCUUCGCUUGAACUGAGAGUAUCUGAAAAAAAGAGAACGAGUCCAAAUCUAAUAAAAAAUAUUAAUAUUGUUUCAUGGAUCGAACAUUUUCAAUUAUGAUUAUAAAUAAGAGAUAUAAUGUACAAUUUUUUUUUUCAUAAAAACUUUGAAUUCAAACAUGUUAAAACAUCCAAAACUUUUCAACCAAAUAUUUUCAUAUGUAUAUCAAUAACAAUUUCAUAUCAAAUCUAAAUGAAAUGCAUUCAAAAUAUUUUUACUUUGAUUAUCAAAUAACAAAUAGUGUCUAAUUAGGUGGGAUUUUGUUGCCCAAAUAAGCAAAACUUUACAAAUGGGAGGUUACCCUCAAAUUUGUUCUUUUUAAAGUGGAUGGAACCCAAAUACUAUUAGUAUUAGUAACCUUUAACCAAACCCCUAGAGGCUGACAUUUAAAACAAUUACAUUUCCACUAAGAAAUGUAAAAGUCAAACAAUUAUAACCCAUUUAUUAGGGUAAAAAAAGUCAACAAUUAUAACCCAUUAAUUAGGACAUAAAAUGUCAACAAUAUAACCCAUUGACUAGGGCUAAAUAAACCAAAGUCAAACACUUUCUUUUAUUUAUUGAAACUUACAAAAACAUAAUGUUUUCAUUUUUUUUAUUAUAAACAAAAGAAAAUGUUCUUAUAUAUUUUUCAUGCAAAAUAUAUUUGACCCAUGCAUAGAAACAAAAAUAUCAUUUUAUAUAAUUCAAAAUAACAUAUAAAAAGAAAUUAUUUUCUUUUAAAAAAUUUGUAUUAAUUUCUCCUAUCUCAAAAAGCACUCAAAACUCUUAAGGAAUUUAUUGUUGAAGAAUCUAAUUCUCACCUAAAAAUAACAUAAGAAAUAACAACUAAGGUUUAUUACACUUUAUCCCCCAACCUAUAACGUGUUUUGCACAUUGCUCCUUUGAGUUCAAAAUUGAGUAAUAUACCCGUCAUCCUUUAUAAUUGCAUACAAUGUGCAUUUUUUAAGAGACGACGUUAUUAUUAUUAUUAUUAUUAUUGAUAGAAAGGCAUGUGCUCUCCACGUGAUUGAGUGCAAAAAUGUAGUUUUCUUUUUAAGUGAGGGUAAAAGGGUCAUUGUCAUUUUAAAACCCUAAACUCCAAUCCCUCUUCUUCCCUGUCGAUCAUUUUUCCCCGUUGCUGCUGUUGAAUCCCCAACCCAAAGCCCUAGAAUCCUAAGGAAGCUAAUGUAGGCUUUUCUUUCUCCAUUGUAUUCACCUCUCUCAUCUCUUUGCUUUAUUCGAUUUGUGGAAUUUUCUUGAUUGAAGGUCAUGACGGUGUGGAUUGAUGUUAUUUUAUUUUAUUUUAUUUUAUUGAAUUGCUUGUUUUGGAUGUGAGUGUGUUAAUUGAUUGGGGAAUUCACCAGCUUUCAAAAGAGUUGAGAUUGGAUUAUCUGCAUGUUGUUGGUUUGAAUUGUUUUUUGUUUUGGAUUGGGUUUUGAUAAUGUUAUGUUUGGUUGUGAAGACAAAAGUGAGGUUAUAAGAGGGAAAGAGAAUUUUGUGAAUUUAGGUUAGGUUUUGAAUUUUUUAUGCUCAACUUAGUUGAAUGAUUGUGCGAAUUUUUGUUUGAGUUUGUUGCUAUGUUUUUUCUCUGGAAAAUGGCAAGAGUAAAUCCUAUAGGAUUUCAAAAUUGAUUUUUUUUUCAUUUCUUUUGGUAAAUUUCAAUUCGGAUGAAUUGAUGUUGAAUUUAGAUAUAUAGGAUUAGAACUUGGGUGAGUUUUCAAAUUAUUUUUAUUGAAUUCAAAUUUUGUUGAAUUGAAGAAACAAAGUUCUCAUGGGGAUGACACUUUGCAUACAUCUCGAGUUGUUAUGACUUCAAAUGAAUUUCAUGCCUGAUUGAACAAGCUACUGAACUCUCAUUUGAAAAACCCUACUUUAACACCUAAGGAGACUGCAAAAGCAUCAAGAUCAACUGCCAAAGUGUAGUUAACGUGGUUGGGGUUGCUACUAAGGAGAAGACUACAAUUAUAUAAAGAAAAUGAUCCUUUUGCCCUCGAUCACGUGAAGAGCACAUGUGCCUUCCGUAAAAAAAUGUAACACCGUCAUUAAAAAAUGUACAUUGCAUGUAAUUAUAAAGCAUGAGGGGUACAUUACUCGAUUUUAAACUUAAGGGGGAAAUAUGCAAAACACUCUAUAGGUUGGGGGAGGGGGGGGGGGGGGAAAAGGUAAAAAAACCCAAAAACCAUUACUAUUAAUUAUUUUUUUAAAAAUUUCGGGUUUAAAAACCCAAAAAAUUUCCAUGUUAAAAUUAUUUUCCCCCAAAUUUUUUUUUCACCUCCUAUAAAAAAAAACUUUUUUAAUUUUGAUUUAAAAAAAAAAACCAAAAAUAGAAAAUUUUUUUUUAACAUAUUUUAAAAAAAAUUAAAAAAAUGUUAAAAAAAUUUUAAGGUUCCCAAAAAAAUUUUUUUUCUUUAAAAAAAAUUUAAAAAAAAUUUNNNNNNNNNNNNNNNNNNNNNNNNNNNNNNNNNNNNNNNNNNNNNNNNNNNNNNNNNNNNNNNNNNNNNNNNNNNNNNNNNNNNNNNNNNNNNNNNNNNNUAACAACUAUUACUAUUAGUUAUUUAUCUAAAAUUAUCGGUUUGACAAUCCUAAUAAUUUCCUAUGUUAAUAUUAUUAUCACCAAAUUUUAUUUUCGACUUCUAAUAAAAAAUAACUAUAUAAAUUAUGAUUAAAAAUAAAACACUAAAUAUAGAAAUUAUUUUUUAAACAUAUUUAAAAAAAUAUUAAAAAUAUGUUAAAAAUAUUUUAGGCUUCCAAACAAACUUUUAUUCUGUAAAAAAAAUUAUAGAACAAUUUUCAUAAACUAUUCUCAAAAAUUGUUUUUCAAAACUGUUCUUGAAAACAAUUAUCCUAUUAUAAGCUCUUAAAAGCUCUCAAGUUCUUUGAUUGAUAUCAUAUAUGGAUGAAAACAAAAAUCACAUCUUAUAUUCGAUUUUAACAUUAAAUGCACUCCCCAACUAGCUAACUAUAUGCUACAUCACAUAUGCCACAUAUGCCUAGCUUUCUUAGAUUUCCCCUUUAUUCCUUAAUGUUUCCAGCUAUUUCAAUGAGUAAGGAUGGUCAUGAAAACCAUUGAGACUUCCAAGAUGCACUUCAAAAAAAAUUUAACCAAAAGAAAAAACUUGUCAAUCAAGAAAAGAAAAAGAAAAUAGUCCAGUGAAAAUACAUAAAGUCAUUUUUUUUUUCCAAAUUCAAGGAACCAAACCUAAAAGAAACUACAAAAUAUCAAACCAAAAUUGAAGAAGUUGUAAAUCAAGAUAACCUUUUAAAAAUCAAUUAGUAUAUAUUGAUUAUAUUAUAGUACUUAAUGACUUUAUUAUUGUCAAAAAAUUAACUUAAAGCAUAUCCAACAAUCUCUCAAUUUAAAUUAACAAAAUCAAUCAAAACAAAUAGCAAAAGUAGGCAUCUGGGAAAGUCAUGCAUAUGAGUGAAGGUCUCUUCAAGAUUUAAACCUCCACUUAGUAUAAACAAAUCAAAUUUGUCAAGGAACUUAUUAGGUAAAUCAGAUAUGUCACACACAUGCCUUCUAGAGGUUAUCGGUCCUUUAAAGCUAACACCUUUGAAGUCUAUGAUUAAUCCCAUUUUAAUGAGUGAUCUAAAGAGGAUCUAUAGUCUCCUGCAACAUGACUAGUUUCAAUGCUCAAAACGGUAAAGCCAAUGAAGAGUGUAGCAUGUUUCACUCCUACCAUAAGUAUAUAGAUUGAUGAAAAUGUAAUAAUCCUCAUCUUCACAAAUAAUAUGACUUAUUUGCAAGAAGUCAACCAUUGGAUUAACACUAAUUUAUCAUAGGAAGGGAUAUUCAUAUAUAAUAUGAAUGCAUUACAUCACAACUAUUUCUUUGCCUCUUUUUUCAUUGAACAUGAGAAAUCUCAUCAAAUUGAGUUCCCAUUGACCAUAACUUAACUAUAGAUUUUCAAUCUCAUUCCCCUUGAUGAAAUUCUCUCUGGACUUGACAUAUUGUGUAGCCAUGAUCCCAUGAAGCCUUACAUGAUUAUGUCUCACAUAAACAAGUCUAAAAUUCCCAUUAUCGAUCUCAUUAUAUGACUUAAGCAUUGUAACAAGAUUAUCACUACAAAUAGUGAUUGAUUACAUUGGCUUAUUUCAUAUAGACGUGUCUACCAAUAUAUUCCUUAGCCGCUUACCUACCUUUCUCACAAAUGAGAGGGGAAUGAAUUCAUUUCAUUGUGUAAUGAGAUAAACAUGCUAAGGCUAAGGUUGGGUUAGGUUAAGAACAAGGUUAUUUUUCAUAUGUUUAUUUUUGCCUUGAUUUUAGAUAGAGAGGUCCUUAUGUUUUUUUGUGAGUUUGAUGUAAAUUUUUACGUUUGUUCUAUUUCACCAUAGUUUUAAAUAUCAAUUACCUUGUUAGAUUUCAAUUUUUUAUUUUAUUUAUUUAUUUUUGGCUUCUCUUUCAUAUGGGCCCCAUCUUUAUUGUUAUUUCCAUGAUUUUAAUUUCAUUCUUUGUUUCUAUUCCACUUGGUGUUGGCAUCUUGUUGUCUGAGGUUUCUAUAAGAAUUUUUAAAUUUCCAUAGUAGAGUACAACACUCAUCCUUUGCAUCGUUUUUAUCAUACUUCUAUAAGAUAAGAGGAGAAUGAUUGAUCAUUUUCAAGAAAAGGUUUUAUUUUAAGUCUUUGCACUACUUACGCUAUCUCUCCUUAUUCAUGCAUCUAGAAUUUAAUACAUUAAUGACACUUCAUUUUUAUUUCACAAAAUGUGUAUGGGAAAAAAUAGAAAAUAAGAAAACAUACUUAGCAAGCUUGAAGAACAAUCAAGGUAGAUUGCCUUAGUGAAACAAAACUCAUGUGAGAAGAAAAUAGAGUUCUCAAUAUAAUGCCCACUAGGAAGGUGGCCCAAUUCUCUACCAACUAGUGUUAAGGUUGAAUAUGUGAAAGUGGAACAAGUUGUGAUGUUUACUAAAGGUUAAAGAUAAGUGGGUUUUGUAUUAAGAUAGAUACUAUAAUAUCUAUUUAUAUUAAUUCAGUUUUCCUAUUUUAGUUAAUUAUAUUGUAAAAAUCUACAAACACAAAUACAUGUAGACUACUGGGAACAUAAAUAAUUAUGAUAAGUUAAAUUGAAUAAUAAUUAAGUUUCCAAAAUUCUCCAUUGUACAUACAAACACAACUAUUUAGUGAACCAUAUGUUAUUAUUUUCAUAGUUUAUGUAAUUGGACAUAGGUUGACCAUUGUUUAUCUUUCAUUGCAACCAUGAAAUCAUACCUUAACAUUCAGUACUACAAAUGAUAAUAUUUCAUAUACAAUUGCUAAUAAAACAUACAUAUAAUGGUGAUAAAUAAUUGUCACUAAAACCUUUCUUUUAGUUGCAAUAUAAACUUGCCACUAAAAGCAUAAUAUUAGUGAUAAAAUAUUAUUGCGGCUAAAAGUUCACAUUAAUGAUAAUAAAUAAUUGUCACUAAAUUUCAUUAUUUAGUGACAAAUUUGUGUUCUUUUUAUUGUAAUUAUAAUUUGAAAUAGUGGUAACAAGUAUUGCCACUAAAAACAAAAUUUUACAUACAAAAAAUCUAUUGUGGCUAAAGUUGUAAUAAUUAGUGGCAAUAUUUUAAACUUGUGGCUACAACAAUUAGUGACAAUACUUAUAGUGAUGGUCUUGUGGCAACCAAAAUAUUAUCACUAAAUCUUUUAGUGACAAUUUUUAAACUAUUAGCUACAAUUUUAUUCGCGGAUAAAAGUGUAAUUUUUUGUAGUGGCUUAUAUAUAUAUUUAUAUAAUUGUUUGGAUUGGAUAUUUAGAUAAUAUUGGGUGAUAUAUGAGUGUAUACAAAAUGAUUAUAUUUACAAAUGUACAUUAUUUUAUAUAUAUCACCCGAAUUUACCAUCUUACAUUGUUCAUGGCACCUCCUCAUAGGAUAGCUUUUGCACUUUAAUCCUUCUUAUUUCUUUGUGAACUACUAGAGGGAAUAUCAAUGAUAUGUCUAUAUUAUAGUUAUGUUUCACCAGUACUGAUAAUCAAUAACAAUAUAGAACAUUUUCUAUACUACUAGUUCACAUGUGGUAUGAAGAAAAUACUAUGAUCCAGUUUUUCAAAUAAUGUCAUUUUCCUUGCACCAUUUACUUCUAACAACUAUCAACAACUAUAGGCAUUUAAAAAAUUGAAUGUUUAAUUUUGGAUCAAAAGGCCGGGGUUUCAUAGAUAGACACUAGAUAAGAAAUUCUUUCAAUGAAAAAAUUAUUUGAAUCAUCAAUUUCUUCAAGAAAUCUUCAUAUGUUAAUUAGUACUUGAAGAGAUCUUCAAAUUUUCAUCUUUUCACGACAUCUUGAAUCUUGAUGGAAUUUCUUCAACAACUGUAAAAAUUUUGGUCGGUGUUUGAUGUGUGCUUUGAAAUGAGAGGAGACCUCCACUUAUUGGGUUGGAAAAUUUAUUUUAAUAUUAUCUCUUUCUUUCCUAGAGACAAUCAUCUUAUUUAUUGUGAUAAUUAUCAUUUAUUUUAAUGAUCAUAAUUAAUUAAUUAAGAUAAUUAUAAUAUUCUUUUUCUUUCUCACAAUUAAUUGAUUUCUUAUUAUUUUUAAUUUAUCAAUUUUUUUAGCAAGAUCCAUUUGAUAAGUGUCAACUAUUAGGACAUUGAGUCUUAUUUAUAUGUUGGUAAUUUUGUUCCAAUUUAUGUUUGAUCAUAGAAGUCUUUUUAGAUAGUGAAUUGCUCUCCAUUGAAGAUCAAGGGUUACUUUUCAUCCAAUUGGGAAGUCACAAGUACAUUUUAAAAGAUUUAGGUUGUGACAUAUGAGGCUUCGUUGAGGUAUAAAAAGGUUCAGUAUCAAUUUUGGACUUAUAAUUUUUUUUAAAUAAUUUUUCAAAAAAUAGAGGAUGCUCAAGUGGUUAAUCCCACUUAUAUGGUCAGCCUGCUCAAGUGGCAAUGAACCCUCAAGUGGUCCAAGUCCACUAAAGUGGUCAUGUUAGUCCUUCCAAGUUUAGAAAUGUAUUUUGGUUGAAUUUUACUCAAGCUCUAAUUUGGAAACUUAAGAUGUCGGGACUCUUUUGACUUGUGCAUAUAUAUAUAUAUAUAUAUAUAUAUAUAUCUCAAAUAAACCCUUGAGGGUUAGAGAUUCGGGCUAAGAGAUUGUAGAGAUCUAAGAGUUUAGAGAUCUCUUAUUCUUUAGGGGGACUUCUUGAGAGAAAGCCUUAUUGCCAUGCCACUUUUUAUCUCUCAUUCAAGGAUUGGAUCUUUGAAUUGUUGGUUGAUGACUUAAAUCCCUUCGGAGGGACUAAAUGAUCUACUAUGGAGCAAAAGGGAGUUGUUGCGUUGUAGAUGUGGAUCAAGUUAUAGGUACUAAAAAGUAAGCCUUUAGGGUAAAGCGGUUAGGUAAAUCUAUGUAACUUGAUUUCAAAUAGUGGAUUUAGAUUGGUACGUCUUAGACCUCAUGAUUUUUUAUCUCCACAAGUUUGUAAGGGUUUUCCACUUAAAAAAUCUCAUGCCUCAUUGUCUAUUUCUUUAUAUUUGUUAUUAUGUUUAAAGUGCCUAUAUUAAGCUAAUUUGAUUAAUCCUAAUAUAUUACAGGGCUUUCCUAAAAAGUGCAUAUCUAUUUAUUCCUACUCAUUUUCUAGUUGAUAACUUUGAUUGGUUAAUUGAUUAUUGAGUUAAUUGAUUUGUUAUCUUGGUGGUUGUGGUGGUUAUACCCAUAACUAAUUAUUGAUUAAUUUGUUGAUAUUAUUGUUGAGUUUGAUAGGUUGGUUAUUCUGGUAGUAAUUAUUAAUAUCCUUAACAUAUCUUAACAUACAUCCUUAAUCUUUGGAUAUCAAUUAACCAUAAAAAAUCAGUUGUUUAUUUGGGGCGAAUUAUUGAGAUAAAGUUUAGACAUAUUUUAUAAAUAAUUUAUUUAAAAUUUUUUAAAUCACCCAUUCACACCUCUCUGGGUGUUCCUUACUAGACUUUCAAUUAUUAUUUGAGUGGUAUUUGAGCAAUACCCAUUUUUCAUCAACAAAUUAUUAAUUAUUGACGCUUGACUUUUAAUAAGUGGACAAAAUUUGUCUUUGUACAUAUUUCUUUCAAUAUUAAUCAUUGUUAGUUAGUGGCAACCAUCUACUCAAACCGGUAGGGAGUUCUUCAUAUAUUUAAUGAUUUCUUGAAACAUCAGAAAAUUCUUUCAAUGCUUAGGUUUAUUUUUCACUAAUGGCCAGUGUUAAGGCUAUGGUUAGGUUAGAUUAAGAACAAAGUUAUGUUUCAUAAGUUUCUUUUUGCUUUGAUUUUAGAUAGAGAGGUCCAAAUGUUUCUCUAUGAGUUUGAUGUAAAUUUUUGCGCUUGUUCUAUUAUACCAUAGUUUUAAAUAUCAACUACCUUGUUAGAUUCAUUUUUUUUUCUUUUUUGGCUUCUGUUUCAUAUGGGCCCCAUCUUCUUUAUUGUUGUUUCCACGAUUUUAAUUUCAUUCUUUGUUUCCAUUCCACUUACUGUCGGCAUCUUAUUGUCUACGGUUUUGGUAAGAAUUUUUAAAUUUCCAUAGUAGAGUACGACACUCAUCAUUUGCAUCAUUUUUAUUAUACUUCUAUAAGAUAAGAGGAGAAUGAUUGGUCAUUUUCAAGGAAAGGUUUUAUUUUAAGUCUUUGUACUUAUGCUAUCUCUUGUUAUUCAUGCAUCUCGAAUUUAGUACAUUAAUGCCACUGAUUCGUCCCUAGCAGCGGCAGUGGCAAUGGCACCAUUUGAUUCGGGGUUCGAUCCCCAGCAACGGCGCCAUUUGAUUCGUCCCUAGUAGCGGCAGUGGCAAUGGCACCAUUUGAUUCGGGGUUUGAUCCCCGGCAACGGCGCCAUUUGAUUCGUCCCUAGCAGCGGCAGUGGCAAUGACACCAUUUGAUUCGGGGUUCGAUCCCCGGCAACGGCGCCAUUUGAUUCGUGCCCAAUUGGUGUCUCAGCUGAUUCGUGUCCAGCUGGUGCUCCUUGAUUGAGGGAGUAAUCAACAAAAUUUAUAACCUAUUACACCAUAUACUAGGGUAGCAAAGACAAAGCUACUAUAGAAUAGUGGCUCUAGGAUCGUUCACUGGGAUGGGUUUUCACUUUGCAAAUGAUAUUAAUUCAAAGCUGAAUUGGUGUCUUUUCAUUUUAAGGUUAGCUUUAAAAGAAAACAUAAAGAUGUUUGAAUGAAAAAGGUUUAGAUUUAAACUAACCAAAAAUAGUAACUGAUUUUACUUACAAAGAAAAAUGUUUCUUGGAGUUUAGAUCACUAGGCUCAGGUUCCUCAUACAAAAAGGAGAGUUCCGGUCACUUGUUUCUUUUCCUCGCAUUAGAGAAUUAACAUAUAGUUCAUUCUCCAACCGGUGUUGUACAGAUGCUUCCCAUUAAUGGGUUCAAACACUAAAUCCCUCUCACUGAUGCAUCUUGCAAUGACUCAUACCUCUCACCUAGCACUUGCCAUUCAAGGUGAUCUUUAACCUUGGAUUACCCAUCAAAAGCUCGCAAGAGAUAACUAAUGGAUGUCUCCUUGGAGUCCAAAAGCUUACCAAGUGUUGGCUAUUCUAGAAAAUCCUACCUUCAAGUCACCUCCCAUAAGCUCGCAAGAGAUAAACUAGUGAAUCUCCAUGGACGGAGAUCACUUUCCUUACCAAGUGUUGGCCCAAGUGACUUCAAGGCGUUUUAAGUUAACUAAAAAGAUAAAAACCAUUAACGGGUCACACUUUCUCUUCAUUAAAAACUAAAACAACAAAACUUCCAAUUUAUGCAUGUGGAAACUUACCCGGCUUUCCUCACUCCAAGAGACAAAGAGCCUAGCCUCUCAUCCUCUGAGGAAAAAUCCUCAGAGUUUGGUUGGCUAGAAAUAAAAAGAAAUGAAAAAUGAAAGAGAAGGAAAAACAGAGCAAGGCUCUGUAUAUUCUAUAUAUUGAUCGAUAUUACAUAUAUGAUUCUCUUACAGUGGAUGCAAGGGAAUAUAUAUAGAGACGUUUUUCCAACCUUCCUAACUAAGAAAUCUUAUGGUUGGUGGAUUACAAGGAGAAGAAUGGAAAUUCAUACAAAAAUAUCUGAAGAAAAAUAUCCCAAAGUGUCGGUCACAAAUAUCGGGGUACUUCAGGAACCAUUUCGCAAGAGAAAAUGGUGUCUGCGAGAUUUCGCAGGUACUCAAGAAGGGCUGCGAAAUCACUUCGCAGCAACAAGCUAUCCUCGCAGGGCUGCGAAGUUGGCUUCCACCUUGAGGUUCUCAGCUUCCAGCUUGCGGCAUAUAUAGGGUAACUUCAGGAGGAAAUCCACAACACUGUGCAAAAAGGCUGCGAAAUUCUCGCAACAAAAGGCUGAUUUCGCAACACUUUGCAAAUUUCUUCCUUCAACUUAGAGUGAUCGACUUGCAGUGGCUGUAACUUCUUCAUUUCAACUCCAAAUUGCGCACCGUUUAAAGCAUUGGAUUCUUGACUUCCUGAGAUUUGAAAUGGUAUAUAUUAUGUAGAAAUUGGACUUCAAGAAGUGCUCCAAAAGUGGCUGACAUGACUGUCAUCAAGAAUGCUUCAUGGCAGAUUUCUCUUUGCUUUCCCUCCUUGCAUUCCGGAUUUGCUUAUGGCAAAGGACUUCAAAGCUUUGGUUCUUCAUGAAUUUGAGCUUCCAAAAGCUUUGCCAUAACUUGUCCAAGUAGCUCCUCCAUCAUUUGGCAUGCUUGAAUUGAUUCAUAAGCUGAUAAAAACAUGUAAACUUGCCACAAAAUGGUUAAAACCAAUUACUAAGGAUCUUAAUGAAUUAAUUGGGUUAAAUGAAUAUGAUUACUACUCAAAGGUGCUUAAAACCAUUAUAAUUAGGUCUACAAAAUAGCACUUUUUGGUAGUAAUCAGCCACUUUAUUUUCAUUUCACAAAAUGUAUAUAGGAAAAAAAAAUAGAAAAUAAGAAAACAUACUUAGCAAGAUUGAAGGAACAGUCAAGGUAAAUUGCCUUAACGGAACAAAACUGAUAUGAGAAGAAAAUCGAGUCCUCAAUAUUAUGCCCACUAGGAAGGUGGCACAAUUCUCAACUAAUUAGUGUUAAGAAUGGAUGUGUAAAGUGGAACAAGAUGUGAUAUUUAUUAAAGGUUAAAGAUAAGUGGGUUUUGUAUUAAGAUAGAUAGUAUUUAUAAUAUCUAAAAUUAUUCUCAAUCAUUAAGAUAUAUUAAUUUAAUUUAUAUUUAUUUUCCUGCUUUGGUUAAUUAUAUGGUUAAAAUCUAUAAAAACAAAUACAUUUAGACUAUUGAGAACGUAAAUAAUUUUGAUGAGUUAAAUUGAAAAAUAAUUAAGUUGCCAAAAUUCUCCAUUGUACAUACAAAUAUAACUAUUUUGUGAACCAUAUGUUGUUAUUUUCAUAGUCUAUUUAAUUGGACAUAGGUUCACCAUUGCUUGGCUAUCAUUGCAACCAUGAAAUCAUACCUCAACAUUCAAUACUACAAAUGAGAAUAUUUUCAUUUUCAAGGAAUCAUACCUCAACAUAGGAGAAUGAUUGCUCAUUUUCAAGGAACGAUUUUAUUUUUAGUCUUUAUACUUAUGUUGUCUCUCUUUAUUCAUGCGUCUUGAAUUUAAUACAUUAAUGCCACUUUAUUUUCAAUUUACAAAAUGCGUAUAGGAAAAAAAAAAUAGAAAAUAAGAAAACAUACUUAGCAAGCUUGAAGGAACAGUCAAGGUAGAUUGCCUUAACAGAACGAAAUCAUAUGAGAAGAAAAUUGAGUUCUUAAUAUUAUGCCUAGUAGGAAGGUGGCACAAUUUUCAACUAAUUAGUGUCAAUGUUGAAUAUGUAAAGUGGAACAAGAUGUGAUGCUUACUAAAGGUUAAAGAUAAGUGGGUUUUGUAUUAAGAUAGAUACUAUAAUAUCUAAAAUCAUUCUCAAUCAUUAAGAUAUAUUAAUUUAAUUUAUAUUUAUUUUCCUACUUCGGUUAAUUAUAUGGUAAAAAUCUAUAAAAGCAAGUACAUUUAGACUAUUGGGAACAUAAAUAAUUUUGAUGAGUUAAAUUGAAUAAUAAUUAAGUUGCCAAAAUUCUCCGUUGUACAUACAAACACAACUAUUUAGUGAACCAUAUGUUGUUAUUUUCAUAGUCUAUGUAAAUGGACAUAGGUUCACCAUUGCUUAGCUCUCAUUACAACCAUGAAAUCAUACCUCAACAUUCAAUACUACAAAUGAGCAUUUUCUCAGCCUCGAAUUCAAGCAACACCAAGCCAUGGAUUGGGCCUUAAUCUAACCAUAGAGUAAACCCUUCUUGUGUUGUUUCAUUGCCUAUGGUGGUGUGCACUGAAGGCCCCUCCCAUAGGUGCUUAGAAGCACAUUAUCUUAAUUUCUUUUUCAUAUCUUUGAUCAUACAUUAGGCUAGUUUCUUAAGUUGGAGUGUGAGACUGUUUGGUGCUAAAAUACUUUAUUUUGAUGUUAAAAAAAAAAAAAAAGGUAGAGCUAUUGAUAGCUUCAAUAAACAUAAAACAUCUUGUUUUUAGUUAUGUAAAAAAAAAUUAAAUUAUUCCAAUUUUAUUAAACAUGAAUCAUCUUACACACAAUACUAAAAUAAGGUAUUUUUCUGGAAAAAAAAAAAAAGGAUUCCUUGUGUGUGAAAACUCUUUCCAAAGAGAGAAACCCUUUAGAAAAAAAUAUUAAAAUUCAAGUAAAAUCUCUUAAUGAGUGGAUGCAAUUUGGCGUUACGUUGUAAAAAACCAAUCACACAUAUUACUUGAGAAUAGUAGUCCCAUUCUAUAUAAUGGUAGCUAGGGUGGAACCCACUCUUUUUAAAAACCUAAUACACAUUGAUUCAUUGAACCUUAGCCUUCAAAUAUAUAAACAACGAUAAGGCUCAAGUUGGCAUAGGUGUUCGAGGAUUACUAUAAAAAAUGACUCUAUUCUUGUAUUAAACAUAAAUAUAUGAUUAUGCUUGUAACAUUGUGUUGACAAUAUUAACACAUAGAAAGUGCUUAUAUAUAUGCAAUAUCGUUUGGAUCCAAUAUUUGGAUAAUAUUGGGUAACAUAUGAGUGUGUAAAAAGUCAUUAUAUAUACAAAUUUACAUUAUUUUAUAAAAAUCACCUGAAUUUGUCAUCUUAGAUUGUUCAUGGCACCUUCUCAUGGGACAUCUUUCGUACUCAAAUGCUUUAUACUCCUUUGUGAACUGCUAGAGGGAGUAUGAAUGAUAUGUCUAUAUUAUAAUUAUGUUUGACUAGAAUUGAUAAUCAAUAGCAAUAUAGCAUCUUUGCUCUACUAUUGGUUCACUUGUUUUAUGAAGGAAAAUACUAUAUGAUCCAGUUUUUCAAACAAUGUCAUUUACAUCUAACAACUGUCAACAAUUAUAAACAUUUAGCAACCGUUGGUGACAUCAUCAUUGGUAAUCUGGUUCUUUAGUAGGCUAGGGUUAAUGAUUUUUUACAUGUAAAUUUUCUAAAAUAAGAAAAUUGUUGGCAAAAUUUUAUGUUGAUUUAUUUAUACUCUAUUGUCUUUAAUAUGCCCUUUGAUUCUUCAUAUCAAGACACAAACACCCUUUUAAACAAUUUAAUGUUUGAUUUUGGAUCAAAAAAUUGGGGUUUCAUAAAAACCAUUAGAUAAUAAAUUCUUCCAAUGAAAAAAAUCUUAAAACCAUUAAUUUCUUCAAGAAAUCUUCUUAUAUUCUUUAAUUGUUCAAGAGAUCCAAGUAUUCAUCUUUUCAUGAAAUCUUGAAUCUUUAAGGAAUUUCAUUAAUAACUGUAAAAAUUUUCAUUAGUGUUCAAUGUUUGCUUUGAAAUGAGAGAGAACCCUCUACUUGUUGGGUUGGAUUUUUUUUUUUUUUUUUUGGCUUCUUUUGAAGAACAUAAACUAUUUUUUAAAAGGUUGAAUUUCACCACACUUUACUGAUUGUUUUCUAAAGAAUAAAUAAACAAUACAUACUUUCUUUACACAGAAAAUGGAAUAUUACACAGAAUAGGUAAGUAAGAUUUCCUUCCAGCCUUGAUUUUCCACAUUACAAAUAUGGAGAGGCAGAUUGCGUUAUCAGCUGGCUGAUUUUCCACAGUACAAAUAUGGAGAGGAAGAUUGCGUUAUCAGUUGGCUAUGGAGAGACAGAUUGCGUUAUCAGCAGCAGCUGGCUGAGUUGGAGUUUCCUUUAUCAGCCCCCCGCAAGCUAGUGAGUGGUAACUUGUGCACUCCUAGCUUGAAUCGAAAUAAUUGGAAUGAAGUCUUAGGGAGUGCCUUUGUGAAUUUAUCAGCUACUUGUAAGGACGAUGGAAGGAAACGAGUAAUCAAAACUCCUCUUGCAACUUUUUCCCGAACAAAAUGAUAGUCCAACUCAAUAUGCUUGGAACGUGCAUGGAAAAUAGGAUUUACUGUCAUGUGAAGGGCACUGAGAUUAUCGCAUAGCAAUUGAGGAGGUUCACGUAGUUGAAUGCCAAUAUCACGGAGAAGGAAAGUAAGCCAAGUUAUUUCUGCGGCACUGGAUGCAAGGGAUCGAUAUUCGGCCUCAGCGCUUGAUCUAGAAACUGUAGGUUGUCGCUUUGAGGACCAUGAGAUACAAUUGGCUCCCAGAAAAAUACAAUACCCAGAUGUGCUUCUUCUUGUGUUUGUGCAUCCCGCCCAAUCAGCAUCACAAAAACCAGUGAGACGAAGAGAACUUUGCUUGAAAAACCUAAUUCCAUGCUCCAUUGUUCCUUUCAAAUAUCUAAGAAUGCGUUUGACAGCUCGCAAGUCAGCUUUAGUGGGUGCUUGGAAAUGUUGGCAAGCCUUGUUUACUGCAUGCACAAUAUCAGGCCUUGUGAAAGUUAAAUAUUGAAAGGAUCCAACAAGUUGCCUAUAUUGUGUAGGAUCAAUAGGUUGUUCAUCAAAAGAUGUGAUGAUGGACUUAAGAGCCAUGGGUGUGUUGAUAGGAGUACACUCCAUCAUUUUUGUGUGCUCUAGGAGAUCUCUAAUGUACUUUAUUUGAGAAACUAACAACCCAUUAGGAAGAUAUUUAACCUCCAAUCCCAAAAAAUAAUGCAAAGAUCCUAAGUCCUUGAGAGAAAAUUCACUACUCAGGGUGCUGAUGAGGUCACUAAUGAUGUUGUUAUCAUUGCCUGUGACUAUAAUAUCAUCAACAUAGAUAAGUAGCAAAACAAUAGACUGACCUUUGCGAAGAAUAAAUAGAGACGAGUCUGCUUUACCACAACAAAACCCCAGAUGAAGAAGACAUUGGGAUAGUCUAUCAAACCAGGCCCUUGGAGCUUGCUUAAGGCCAUAAAGAGAGCGAUUCAAUUUGCAGACAUGAUUCGGAAGGUCCUCAUUUAUAAAUCCUGGAGGUUGUUCCAUGAAUACUUCUUCCUUUAGAAACCCAUGUAGAAAGGCAUUCUUAACAUCCAAUUGCCUCAUUUUCCACCCCAAGGUUACUGCUAGUGAAAAGAUCAUUCUGAUUGUAGUAUGCUUUAUAACUGGACUGAAGGUCUCUCCAAAGUCCAAACCCGGUAUUUGAGAAAAACCUCGAGCAACUAAUCGUGCUUUGUAUCUAUCUAUGGUUCCAUCUUCCUUCAGCUUUGUUUUAAACACCCAUUUAGAACCCACAAUAUUUGUAGUUGGAGGCCUAGGAACCAAAUCCCAUGUUCGAUUUUGGAUUAAAGCCUUGAUUUCCUCUUGCAUUGCUUUGAGCCAAUGGGGAAUUUUCAAUGCUGUACGAUAUUUUUUUGGCUCACUAAUAUCACUUCUUGUGGCAGCAAAAGUAACCAUUUGAGAUUUUAAACUGGGAUCAUUCUUGAGUUUACUUCUGGUGAUCAUAUGAGUUCCUUUGUUAUCUGUGUGUUGGCCUUGAGGAGGAGAGAUGUCAACAACAAUUUGCUUGCUACUAUCAGGAACUUCAUCAUCAGCACUAUAACUAGUUGAUUUGUUUUGCAGAGAUGGAUCUACAUGCUCAUUUUUCUGCCAUUUUUGAGGAAAAGAUAGAUCAACUACUAGGUGCUUACUGAUAUCAGGAAAAUUACUAACCUUGGCAGGCUUGUAGCUAUUAGUAGACUCAAUCUGGGAGAGUGUUCCAGUAGUAGUAGCAGUGUGGGAAUUGUGGUCACUGGCACCAAGAGCAACAUCAGUGGGAGUUUCAGUAGUAACGACAGUAUUAUGGUCAUUUUUACUAGCAGCAACAGUGGAAAUUUCGGUAGCAACAGCAGUGGGAGUUCCAGUCGAAUUAACACAUGAUGCUUCUGUAUUUUGGUUAGUAUUGCAACGAGCAGAAAUUCUUCCUUCAACACUGAACUGGUUUCUUUGCUCAGUAGUGCAUGGGCAAUGGCUGCACUUCUUAGAGUUGCUUGAUUGGUUAGCAGUGUUCUCCUUCCAAGACUUAGUUUGGUGAUCUAUUUUUGAAGUCUCACAAGAAGCAUCUGAAGUUGAGAAUGAUACCAUUUCUAUAGGAAUCUAUAAAUGAUUUUCCUUAACAAGAGAGUUAUCAUAAGGAAAACAAUUUUCAUUGAAAAUGACAUGACGAGAUAUGUAAACUCUUUUAGUUGAAGGAUGCAAGCAUCUAUAACCCUUGUGUAGAGAGCUAUAUCCAAUAAAAACACAUGGAUAUGUCUUAGGUGAGAAUUUAUUCUUCCCGUAGUCUCUAAGGUAUGGAAAACAUUGACAGCCAAAAAUUCUUAAGCUCCUAUACUCUGGAUAUUGUUUGAAAAGCAUAAAGAAUGGACUUUCCAUUUUCAACACCGUGGAAGGCAGCCGAUUAAUGAGAUAUACGGCAGUAAGGAAUGCAUCUACCCAUAGACUCAAUGGUAGUUUGGCAUUGAAAAGCAUUGUUAGACCCAUUUCAACAAUGUGUCUAUGCUUUCUCUCUGCAACCCCAUUUUGUUCUGGAGUUCGUGGACAUGAGACUUGUUGCAAAAUUCCACACUUGCUCAAGUGAUUUUGAAAUUUAAUUGAUUGAAACUCACCUCCACCAUCACUUUGGAAGAUUUUUAUCCGUCUUUCAAGUUGAUUCUCAACCAGAAUUUGAAACUUCAAAAAACAUUCAAAGAAAUCUGAUUUUCUUCUCAAGGGAUAAAGCCAUGUAUAGCGAGUAUGAUCAUCAAUAAAGACAGCAUAAUACUUGUAUCCUUGAGUUGAAUUAUUUGGUGCAGGUCCCCAUAAGUCACAAUGAAUUUUGUCAAGAGGAUUGCUAGAAAUUUUAUUUCUUAAGCCAAAAGGAAGUUUACAGCUUUUUCCUAACUGACAACUAACACAUACCGUUGCUGAUUUCAUCCAACUGGAUACCUCAAUGAAUUUCUUAUCUUGCAGAAGCUUUAUAGAUUUUGUUUGCGGAUGCCCCAUGCAUUGAUGCCACACUUCUGAUGAUGCCUUGCUAGACCUAGUAACAGUCAUGGCUUGAAUCACAUUUUCCUCCAAUGCAUAGAGACCUUCCUUCUUAGUUCCUCUGGCUAGCACUUGCUGAAGUUGAUCCUUAAUGACAAAACCAGUUGAUGAGAAUUCUAUGGAGCAUGCGUUAUCAGAGGUAAGUUGUCCAAUGGAUAACAAAUUUUUCUUAAUUUCUGGAACAACCAAUAAUUUUUUAAGCUUUAGAUCUCUAUGUUUAGUUUUUAGUCUGGCUUCACCAAUAUGUGAGAUUCUUAAAGCUUCUCCAUUUCCAACAAAAAUUGCAUCAUGCCCUUUAUAUGGAAUUACUUGGGACAUCUUACCUGGGUCAUUUGUUAUAUGGGCUGUUGCUCCAGAGUCCACAUAAAAAUUAGGAUCCUUUUCUUCUUCAUGUAGAGCCAUAGCAGCCAAAGCUUGAGGAAUCUCUUCUGAUUGAUACGAAUAGUCAAAUCUGUUCCAGCAAUCCAAAGCUGAAUGGUUAGUUUUACUACAAAUUUGACAAAUAAGAGUACCUUCAGAUUUUUGAAGUUUCUGUUGUGGUGGAAACUGGUUGUUGAAGCUAUUUCUUGGAUUUCUGGUGCUGAUCUAUUGUGGUGGAAACUGGUUGUUGAAGCUAUUUCUUGGAUUUCUGGUGCUGGAAUGAACAUUCUGCCUUUGGUCACUGGUAGCAUUGUUAUUGAAUCGUCCUGCUGGAGUGAAGCCACGACCUUUAGAAAGAAAUCUUCCUCCUCGAUUUCUUCCUCUUCCUCGUUGGGUAAAAUAGGCUUGUUCAUGGUUUAUUGACUCCUUGUUCUCUUCAUUUUCUAUCAUAAUCAUUUGUUCAUGCCCUUGUAGAGCCAGAACAAAUUGAUUGUAAGAAGGAUACGGUGGCUUUGAUAACAUGGCCACUCGAAAAUCCAUGUAUUUAGUUCCGAGACCUUGAGCUAGUUGAAAAACUUUGUCUAGGUCACUUACUGGUUUUCUAACUGCAGCUAAUGCAUCACAAAUGCCUUUAAACUCCCUUAGAUAUUCAUCAAGGGACCUUGUGCCUUUCUUUACCCCUCGGAGUCUGUUGGUCAAUUGUACUUCCUUCUCUUUCGUCAUUGGAAGGAGCUUUUCUCCUAGAGAGUUCCAGACAUCAUAGGCAGUCUCUGUUCCAUCCAACAAAAGCAUCACUUCUUUUGUCAUGAGUCCAAGAAGCCAGGAGGUAAGUAGACCAUCAUUGUGAGACCAUGUCUCGAUUGACUGAUCAUGGGUCUCCUUUGUUUCAGUACCCAUUGUCUCCUCUGAUGCGUGUCUAUUUUCAGAGAGAUGAUGGAUUAAUCCAAGGCUUCGCACAAGAGGAAGAACUUGUGAGCGCCACAAAAGGAGAUUGGACAUAUUCAGUUUGAUGGAGACGAGGCUUGAGCAUUGAUGAAAAGCUUGAAUGCUAAGAACAUUUUCUGGGUUUGCCAUGGAAGCUUUGGAUUGUUUUAGGUUAACCCGCUCUGAUACCAUGAAGAACAGAAACUAUUUUUUGAAAGGUUGAAUUUCACCACACUUUACUGAUUGUUUUCUAAAGAAUAAAUAAACAAUACAUACUUUCUUUACACAGAAAAUGGAAUAUUACACAGAAUAGGUAAGUAAGAUUUCCUUCCAGCCUUGAUUUUCCACAUUACAAAUAUGGAGAGGCAGAUUGCGUUAUUAGCUGGCUGAUUUUCCAUAGUACAAAUAUGGAGAGGAAGAUUGCGUUAUCAGCUGGCUAUGGAGAGGCAGAUUGCGUUAUCAGCUGCAGCUGGCUGAGUUGGAGUUUCCUUUAUCAGAGUUUCCUUUAUCAUCUUUCUCAUAUGGGCUCCAUCUUCUUUAUAGUUGUUUCCAUGAUUUUAGUUUCAUUCUUUGUUUCCAUUUCAUUUGGUGUAAUAAGGAAAGAGGGUAAUUCUUCUACAGUUUGGCAUCAACGACUUGGACAUCCUUAUUCAAAAAUAUUGUCUUUGUUAAAAGAGCAGAAUAUUAUUGAUUUGUCUCAUUGGAUAUCUAAGCCUAAUAUUUGCAUUAGUUGUCAAAUGGGAAAAAGUUGCAAACUUCUUUUCAAAAGCAAUAAUAAAAUCUCCAAGUUUCCCUUUCAAAAAAUUCAUUGUGAUAUUUGGGGACCAACUCCUAUAGCUUCAAACCAAGGUUUUCGAUAUUAUGCCAUUUUUAUUGAUGAUUUUAGCAGAUUCACUUGGUUAUACCCUCUCAAGUGAAAGUCUGAUUUCUUUAGUUGUUUCAUCUAGUUUCAAAAACUUGUUGAAAAAAAAUUGGAUUCAAAAAUUAAGAUUUUCCAAUGUGAUGGAGGAGAAGAGUUCAGUUCAAUUGAAUUUAUUAACCAUGUUCAAUGUUGUGGCAUUGAACUCCAUGCGUCUUGUCCAGGAACUACUCAACAAAACGGUGUAGCAGAACGAAAACAUCAACAUAUAGGUGAAAUUGGGCUUACAAUGUCAUUUCAUGCUAAUAUGCCCUAUCUUUAUGGGUAGAAGGCUUUUUCCACGGCUGUGUUUGAUUAAUCAUUUACCAUCUUUAGUCUUGCAGAAUGAAAGCUCAUAUAAAAAACUUUACAAAAGACAUCUAGACUAUAGUGGUUUGCAGGUAUUAGGAUGCCUAUGUUUUCCUUCUCUUCGAAAUCAAGGGGGUUCAAAAUUGGGUUCAAAAUUUGUCAUAAAAACAUAUCCGAAUUUCCAAGUUUGGACGAAUGGAUUGGCAAAAUUGAUGACUCAUACAAAAUCCUUUCAAACAAGGAGAUUUCUAGAAAGGAAAAAUCAACAGCCUUGCCUAUUUCUGACUUUACAAAUUGUUGCGACUUUAAUGCUGAUUCUCCACAAAAUAAUGUUUCAGUCCCGAAUGCUCUAAUCUUUGAAAGUCAAGCAAAUCAAGAUGCAAUAUUUCCAUCAUCUACUCCAGUAGAUUCUCUCCCAAACAUGGAAGGCAUCUCCACACACCUUGACAUCCAUGACGUGAAAUGCUCAGAUUCAAGCUCUCACAUUUCCCUUCAGGAAGCCUUGAAAGAUCCUUGCUGGAUAGCUGCUAUGGAAGAGGAACUUUCUGCCCUCAACACUAAUGAUACUUGAACUUAGUUCCAAGGCCGCCUAGUAUUAAUAUUGUCGGCUCCAACUGGAUUUAUCACAUUAAAACAAAGGAAGAUGGAACCAUAGAUCGCUUCAAGGCUCGUUUGGUUGCAAGGGGAUUCACUCAAAUUUCUAGAGUUGAUUAUGAUGAAACCUUCAGUCCAGUAGUUUGACCAACAACCAUUAGGUUAGUGAUUGCUCUCUCCCUAUCCUUCAAAUGGAAGAUAAGGCAACUUGAUGUUAAAAAUGCAUUCUUGCAUUGUAACCUCAAAGAAAUUGUCUACAUGGAGCAGCCACCAGGGUAUAUUCAUCCAACUAAGAAAGAUCAUGUUUGCUUACUUAAAAAAUCACUCCAUGGAUUGAAAUAGGCACCUCGUGCCUGGUUUGAUAGACUCUCUAAAUAUCUUCUGCACCUUGGAGCACGUGUGAUGCCUCUUUUUUUAUAUAUUACAUCCAUUACUCUCAUUUAUGUAGAUGAUAUUCUCCUUACAAGGAAUAACGAUGAGUUUCUCCAACAUCUAAUCUUCAGGUUGAGUCAUGAGUUUAUAAUCAAGGAUCUCAGAUCAUUGCACUAUUUUCUUGGAAUAGAAAUGAAGCCAUUUCCUAGUGGAGUGUUCUUGUCUCAACACAAAUACACACAAGACAUUCUUCACAAAACAAAAAUGUUGGAGAGUGCUCCCCUUGCUACACCAAUGGCUGUAAAAGACAACUCUUCGAACUCAGAACCCGUUGAUGCUACCCUUUUCCGCAGCAUAGUAGGGGCUCUCCAAUAUCUCACUUUCACAAGACCCAACAUCACCUUUGUAGUAAAUAAAGUGUCUCAAUUCCUUAGCAGCCCCACUUUUAGCUAUUUGAAGGUUGUAAAAUGGAUAUUGCGAUACUUAAAUGGGACACAACAUUUUGGUCUUCGUUAUAUUGCCCAAAGCCCUACCAACCUUUAUGCGUUGAGUGAUGCAGAUUGGGCUAGUUGCACCACAACAAGGAAGUGCAUCACUAGUUUCUGCACAUUCCUUGGUACCAAUUGUAUUUCUUGGUGUGCUAAGAAACAACCCACUAUGUUUCACUCCAGCAUUGAAGCCGAAUAUCGUUCUAUGGCCUCCACCAUAACUGAGAUAACAGGGCUCGCAUUUCUUCUUCAAGAUAUUGGUGUUCCCUUGGCACAACCCCCAUAAUUAUUUUGUGAUAAUAUCAGUGCCCUUUACAUGUCACUUAACCCUUUGUUUCAUUCAAGAUGAAAGCACAUUGAGCUUGACUACCACUUUGUCCGAGAAAAGGUUGCAGUGAUUCAUCUUAUCACACGACACAUCCCUUCAUCAUCUUAGCUCUCUGAUAUCUUCACCAUGCCAUUACCCAAGGCUACCUUUCAGGUGUUCAGGAACAAACUGGGUGUUCAACCUCAACCACACACUAGUUUGAGGGGGCAUGUUAAGAAUCUAGUCAAGAAGAUUCUAAUACAGCUCAAGAGAAUAAAAUCUCCAAGCUCUAGGCUGUAACUCUAGAGAAUAAAGUCACAGAGAAUAAAAUUUCCAAGUUGCAGGCUGCAAAGGAAGGAAAAUAAACAGUGUGUAUAUUAAAACCUGCUAGUCAAUGAAAAUAGCAUCAACUUCAUCCAUUCCUUUCUAAACUUUCUUUAGAAAGCAUAGGUUGUAUCAUUUUUCUUUUCAAGAAAACAACCUUUAACUCCCCAUUGGAUCACUUUGAAAUGAAUUUGAAGGUGAUAUCAAAAUAUUCUACUCAUCUUAAGCUUUUUUAUGUAAUAUUUUGUCAACGUUUUAGGUAAAAUUAAUGAAGAAAAUAUGAUUUUUUUUUUCUCUUGCAAAUAUAAGGAUCCAUCUUAGAAAAGAGUGUUUUUUUACCAUGAACUUCAAGACACCAAAAUUAGAAAACAGGUAGACUAAUGAAAUCCCAAGUCCAAAUGGAGAAGAUUGAUUGCAAUUGGGAGGCCUACAACAAUCAGGAAAGGAUCGCAUGGAACCCACAUACCAAGAAGGCAUAAUAACAAAGUGGAUUGUUAUAGGGCAUGUGUUAGCCAUGCUCAUGUGUACAACCAAUGCGUGAUAGUGCUAUCCUAUGUCCUUUCUUGACACUGACUGCAUGUGAUAUAUCCCCUCAUUUUUCUUUGUAUUUGUUUGAUUUUUUAAAAGUAAAAAGUACACUUCUUUUUUAGUAAGUAGGAAAGCGCUUGGGGUUCAUUGACCAUGGUUUUUAGGACAAAAAAGUUCCAAGAUAUAUAUAUUUUUUUUAUGUGAUGACCUCUCAUAUUUUUCCAUGAUUAUUUAGAUUUUUUUUUAUUUUAUUAAUUUUUAAUUAUUAAAUUUGUGUUUCAAGAAAACAAAAACCACAAGAAAAUUCUUGUCUAAGUUUUUUAGAAUAUUUUUGAGAUUAUUAGAGAACAUUCUAUUCUACAAGAAAUUUUUUAUUAUUUUAUUGUUUUUAGAUUUUUUUUCUCAUGCAUUUUAUUUAAGUGGAUUAUUAUUGUAAUAAUUAUUUUUGAGGCAUGAAAAAUAGAAAAUAAUUUUCUGUGGCAGAUUUUUUUUUCUUUUUUUUUGCAAAUUUUAAUUGCUUAGUAGCUAAGACAUGUCUAGAUCUUGUUUACAAUCCUCGUAACAAGUCUAUAACCAUCAACAUCAAUAUCAAGUUGAGAGUUUCAUCUUUAAAACUGACCACUCUAACCAAAUAUAACUAGUUUAUGCAAAUGAAACUCAAUUUCUCUUAUACCCUACCUUUACCCACUUUUAUAGCCAACAUCAAAAUGAGGUGAUAGAUUUGCCAAAUCUCUCUCCCACUAAUUUUUUCAUAAUUGAAAGCUUCUUUGAUUUUAUUUCCAAGACCUCUUUAAUUAUGAAAACCUUUCUUGUAUGGUCCUCGAUUAGUGGGAGUUUAAAAAAUAAUUCCAUCAUCCCACCAUCCUAACGCCAACACCCCCAUCCCCAAAUCCAACUUGCCUUUUUAAGAACCUUUGAAGAAUCUAAGUCUUAUCCAUGCAAGGAAAGUGCAAUUUUACUUUCAUAGUCAACCAGUUAGUCUUACAAUCCUAGCUUCAUAUGAAAACAACUUGUACAAUUAUUUCCAAAAGAAAAUACAAGUUAGAAGAGAUAUCCUCAUCCCAAAAGGAAGUUCAUCACUUUUAAACUAAAAAUUUCAAAUUUCAAAUAAUUAUGAAAGGAUGACCUCUAAAUAUUCCAGCCCACAAGUCUACCAAAUCUUAAAAAUAAAUGGAAGAUGUUCAUAAUUAUGUCGAGUAAAAUAAAAUCCUUCCUUUAUGUUAUAAAACUUUCUAACCAAUUGCUUAUUUAAAUAAAAAUUUGCUGGAAAAAUUCCAGCCCCCAAGUCUAUCAAAUUGGACAUGGGUUAGCCAUCGAUUAGCUCACAUUGCAACCUUGAAAUCUCCAUUCAUCAGCUCUCAUUGCAACCUUGAAAUCAUACCUCAACUUUCAAUUCCACAAAUUAGCAAAUUCUCAGCCUCAAAUUUAAGCAACUCCCAGCCAUGGAUUUUGCCUUAAACCAGCCACUCAUUAGACUCCUUCUUGGGUUGUUUUGCUGCCCAUGGUGGUGUGCACCCAAGGCCCCUACCAUAGGUGCUUUGAAGCACAUUAUGCUUACUUCUUUUCCAUAUUACAAAUUUCAUUAAACAUGAAACAUCUUGCAUAGCAAACUAAAAUAAGGCUUUUCUAAAAACAAUUUUAUAAUUCCUUGUGUGUGAAAACUCUUUCCAAAAAGAAAGGCCUUAAAAAAAAAUAAAUAAAAUUCAAGUAAAAUCUCUUAAUGAGUCCAAAAAAUGUGGUUUUAAAUUAUAAAAGUCUAAUAUAAAAAUAUAAUUGAAUAUAGUAGUCCCAUUAAUUAUAAUUGUAGCUAGGAUGGGCUUCACACUCUUCUUAAAAAUCUAAUACACAUUGAUUCAUUGAACCCAAGCCUUCAAAUACUUAAAGGCCUAAUACAUAUUGGUUCGUUGAACCCUAGCAGUUAAAUAAUGAUCUAUGAAAUUCCUUCAACAGUCAAAUAAUCAUUUAAGAAAUUCUCAAUUCUCUCAUAUGAAGAAGAAGAAGAUUCCAAACAUGAGUCUAUUUUUUAUUAAUAGCAUGCAAAAUUGGAUCAAAGAUUUAGCAUAUGGUAAGCUAAUUCAUGUUUGAUUUGUAUUACUUUGGGAUUUCUUUAACUUUCAAUCAUUUGAAAGUAGAUGAAGUCAUAUUUUUAAAUUUUUAUGGUUCCUCUAUUUUCUUCUUGUUUUUAUUUUGAUAUUUGAUGUUAUUCUAAAUCUAAGACAUUCUUCCUCAUUUUCUUACAUAUUCUUUUAGGUUUCCAUGGUUGAAUACUAGUUAGUAUGCUCUUUGAUGCAUAACAUCUACGGGAUGUAAGUCAAGUGUGAGUUUUGUAUUGAUCCUAAACUUACAUAUACUUUCCAUAAUCUUAUUUCAUAAUUAAUUCUAAAAUGUGAAUUAUAUUGACUCUAAUUUUACACUUACUUCUCCUACUAUUUAUAUUUGAUUGUGAAUUCUAAAAUUCUUUAUUAUUACAACUCUAAAAGAAUUCAUUAAACAAAUAUACCUCACUAUUAUCUUUGGGCUAUUAUUGCUCAUAAGAUAUUGAUCACUAUGUCCUUUUACUAUUGCCAUUUUAAAUGUAAGAUAGAUACUAGUACCAUCUUCAAGUUUUAAAAAGUUGUGCUUAUUUAGAGCAUGACCAUAGUAGGGAGAGUUCCAUCGAUGUAAUCCUCAACCCGAUUGACAAUGAUUACAUUCAGAAACUAAUUUUUCUAGAUGAGGUAAUUGCUUUAAUCCAAUUUGAUUGUGAGUGGUUGGCUAAGAGUUGGAAGAGAUUGAUGAAUGAACUGAGUAGGGUAAGAUGUUUUGAAUCAAAAACUGGUUUCUGGAAAAUUUUGUUACAUGUUUGGAAUCUGUGGAGGAAUUUCAAUAUUAGAUGAGGGAUUUGUAGCAUAAGAGGUUCCAAGAGGGGUUGAUGAAGAUGAAUCCAUUUUGGAUUGAAGCAACUUUGAUACCAAAUUGGAUCUGGAAAAGAUAGCACAAAGGAAAAGAAUUCAAAGAGAAGAAAGGAAAAUAGUGUAAAGAGGCUCAAUUCAUUACUGAGCAGAGCAAGAAACAUUCUUUAUAUAAGCAGUUAUGUACACAUAGAGGGAAAUCUCACCCUACAUAGUAAUUAUUUACAAUUACUUACAGUGGUUAAAAAAAUUGAAUAUAUCUCCCCCCACACUUGCAAUGAGAAUAUCAACGACGACAACGAUCAGAGCGGUAUGGUUUCUAUAGCCACAGAUUUGGCAAGGACCACGGGGUCGAUUUCCAUUCCAAUUCGAAGAUUUCUUGUGAUUAUUAUUCUGAGAUGAAGUGGGAAGCAAUGGAACAGAAUUAGACUGACUAGCCCCCAUGUUUGCUUAAGGAAAAUCAGUAGAGCUCUUAAGUAAAAUUNNNNNNNNNNNNNNNNNNNNNNNNNNNNNNNNNNNNNNNNNNNNNNNNNNNNNNNNNNNNNNNNNNNCCCUAUGGGGGAAAUUCCCCCCCCCAAAUAUUAUUUUUUAAAAAUUUUUCCACGGGUUAAAAAAAAAAAAAAUUUGGUUAAAAAAAAAGAAAAUAUUUUCCCCCCCCCCCCCCCCCCCCCCCCCCCCCCCCCCAAAAAAAAAAAGAAUAUAAAAACUUAUGUCAUUCAUCAUCAUUUAAGAAAAAAGCUUAUCAAAUAACCUAUUAGAUAUUUAAACAUAUUGAGGGUUAACAUUGUUCAACUUUAUAUUGACAUAAUUAUUAUUUAUUAAAAAAACAUGAUCAUUUUAAAUACAAAUCAACUUAAAUUAGCUCGGUAUAUUGUUAAACUUAUUACCUAUCAGUUUUAGCUUUUAGGUUAAAUUUGUAGCUUAAUAUGGUAUUAACAAUAACAUUGAGAAUCACCAUUUCCUUCAUUUGAUAUCUCAUAUCUCGUUCACAUGUGAAGGAGAAAUAUUAACUUAAUAUAUAUUAUUGGGAUCCCAUGAGUAGCUUAACAGUUCUUUUAAUCUAUGCUGCAAACUACUAUCCACCACAAGUUGUACAAGCAAUAUAAUAUACUCUUGAUACUUUUAUUACAAUUAAGACUCUACAUUGAUGAAUUUCCUGAUUAAUCUUUGGAUAUCAAUUAACCAUUAAAAUUAUUAUUUGGGAGAAAAUCUUAAGAUAAAGUUUAGACAUAUUUUAUAAAUCCCCCCCCCCCCCCGCUAGGUGUUCCCUAUCAAACUUUCGGUUAUUAUUCGAGUGGUAUUGGAGCAAUACCUAUUUUUCAAUUGGUAUCAGAGCAAGAUAACAAACUGAUUCUUUAUCCUAUUGAUUAAAAAUUCAAUUUAUUAUUUUUUACAUUGUUUAAAAAUCAAAUUUUUAUUAAUCAUAUUAGAUAAAAAUCAAAUUUUUAUUAAUCUUAUUAAAUAAAAAUCAAACUUUUAUUGAUCUUGUAAGUCUGAUAUGGAAUAGUCAAAAAGUGGUGCUCCUUUGAAUAGUCUACUCUAUUAUGAUGGGCGUAAUUACUCCCAUUGGAAAGCAUGAAUGAUGUUUUUCCUCAAAAUGCAAGAUGAAAGAGUAUGAGACACAAUUGAAUAUGGUUAGGGACCAUCAUUAAUUCUUAAUGCUCAAGGAAGAUCAACAGGAGAACUUAAACCUAAACAUGAAAGGACAAAGCCGACACUGAAGGUAGUGAAGCCAAUGCUAGAACUUUAUUUAGUAUUCUUAAUUGAGUUUGUUUAGAUGAGUUUCACAUGAUAGCUGUUAGAGCAACAAUCAGAUAUAGUUUGUUUUAUUUGUAUCUAUCUUAUUGUUGUAACUAUCAUCCUUUAAUCAUGUAAGUAGUUAGCUGAUUUUAUGUUAUUUCAAACUCUGUAAUUUAGCUAAAGCUGCUCUUGUAUUCAUUAUUAACACAACAAUAUAAUACAAACAUUCAUUCUCAUAUUAUCUUUACAUGGUAUCAAAGCCCUCAUUCUAAUUUUUUGAUCAAUCAUGACUUCUUCUCAAAUGAUCCCUUCAAAUUCAAUCUCUUCUUCUACUCAUCAUACCUUCUUUGUCAAGCUUACUUCAAGAAAUUAUCUUGCUUGGAAAACUCAAUUUAAUCCUCUUCUUAAUUACCAAAAUCUGACUGGGUUUGUUGAUGGUUCAACUGUUGCUCCAUCGAAAACAAUUAAAGAUUCUUCUACUCUUCCUACUAAGAUUCCAAAUCCAGAAUAUGAAACAUGGUAUAAAAAGGAUCAUAUGUUUCAUUCCUGGAUCCUUUCUUAUCUUUCAGAAGAGAUAUUUCCUUAUGUUAUUGGGUUAUCUUCAUCUUAUGAAGUAUGGCAGGCUCUCUCUCAAGCUUUUGGUUCAAUUUCUCAAAACCGACAACUACAAUUGCACAUUGAACUCCAAGAAUUGAAGAAAAAUGAUCUCUUUGUCUUAGCAUAUUUGCAACGUGCUAAAGCUCUAGCUGAUGAGCUAAAUGUGGCAUGUCGUCCUCUUGCCCUAGCAGAAUUUAAUGCAAUAAUUUAUCGCAAUAUUGGCAGUGACUAUCAUGCCAUUAUCACUGCCUUAAAUCUUCGUUCUGAACCAGUGUCAUUUCAUGAACUCCAUGUUCAACUUAUUGCUCAUGAAAUUUUACUUAAGAGCUCUACUGAUCUUCCUUAAGCAAACAUGGUGGCUAGUCAGUCUAAUUCUGCUCCAUUGCUUCCCACUUCAUCUCAGAAUAAUAAUCACAAGAAAUCUUCGAAUUGGAAUGGAAAUCGACCCCGUGGUCCUUGCCAAAUCUGUGGCUAUAGAAACCAUACCGCUCUGAUCGUUGUCGUCGUUGAUAUUCUCAUUACAACUCUCACAACCAAAAUGCAACUUCUCAUGCUAAUUACUCUUCAGCUGGUCAUUCUCAAAAUAAUUGUGCAAGUUCUCAAGUUCCUGUUGCCAACUACACUCAUGGAGGUUCCACUAUGCCAUGGUAUCCUAACACAACAGUGAACUAUCACAUCACCCCUGAUUUAGCCAAUCUCAGCAUUGCUUAUGAAUAUAACGGACAUGACCAACUCCAUGUUGGUAAUGGACAAUGUUUGCAAAUAACUCAUAUUGGUAUCACAUCCCUUCCUUCAUAUUCUGGUUCUCUCUCUUUAAAAAAUGUUCUUUGUGUUCCUCAAAUUGUCAAAAACUUACUUUCAGUUCAAAAAUUUACCAUUGAUAAUUCCUGCUUCUUUGAAUUUUGGUCCUCUUAUUUUCUUGUCAAGGAUCAAGUGUUCAUGAAAAUCCUCCUGCAGGGCCUAAGUGAAGAUGGAGUGUACACUUUUCGCCCUAAUGUCAAGCAAGCAUUUACACCUGAAGCACCAACCAUGGAUGAAUGGCAUGCUACUUUGGGACAUCCUCAACGGCGUAUCUUGUCUAGUUUAAUCAAGCAAUUUCAUUUACCUUGUUCCAGUAAUUCUAGUUCUCUUUGUUCUUCUUGCAUUUUGGGCAAACAUGCUAGACUAUCUUUAGGAUCAGUUCAACAUAAAAGUACUGCUCCCUUUCAACUUAUUUACUCUGAUGUUUGGGGCCCCGCUCCUUUGUUGUCCAGUCUUGGCCAUCGCUAUGCUCUUAUUUUCAUUGAUGAUUAUUCCCGUUACACAUGGGUUUAUUUGAUUAAAAAUGAAACUGAUGUUUAUUAUGUCUUUCUUCAAUUUGAGCAAUUCAUUCAUCGUCAAUUUAAUCAGAAAAUUUUGGCAUUCCAUUAGGACGGGGGAGGGGAAUACCGAAAACUAAACACCUAUUUUAAACAAGUUGGCAUUGUUCACAGACUUGCAUGUCCUCAUACUCAUGAACAAAAUGGUGUUGUAGAACGGAAAAUUCGCCAUCUUGUUGAUACUAGUCUUGCACUUCUUGCUCAUGCUAAUUUACCACUACGGUAUUGGAAUUAUGCAUUUGAAAUGAGCUGUUCUUCUAUUAAUAAUUUGCCCACUCCAGUUCUUAAUAAUUCUUCCCCAUACUUUGUUUUAUUUCACAAACACUACUCAAAAGCCUUUUGGGUGCACUAUUUUUCCUCUAUUACGUCCAUAUAAUAACCAUAAGUUUGCAUUUCGGAGCACUCCUUGUGUCUAUCUUGGUCCAAGUCCCUCUCACUUGGGUAGUCGUUGUCUUAAUUUAUCAAAUGAUAGGGUCUAUAUUGCUAGGCAUGUUGUUUUUAAUCCUAGCCUCUUUUUGUAUCGUUCUCAUAUUGCAGCAUCUCAAGCUCCAAAGGACUAUUCAAAUUUCCCAUGGCUUCAUAUUAAAAGUGUACCUCCAUCAUCCACGAGUUCUGUUAGAAAUUCAGGUCAGACCUCUACUCCCUCUAAUAUUCCUUUAUUUUCUACCACUGAUCAAUCUUCAAAUAAUUCCUUAUUGUCAACUUAGUCCCCACCUUUGACCACGCCACCCUCCUCUCACUCUUCUAUCCCACAACAAUCACCUUCAUCAGAUUCAACCACUAAUCCUCCACUAUCUCUUAUUGUUGAUCUCACCCAUUAACUAGCUCAACUAAAUGUUGCGUCUUCUACCUCAACCUCUCCUCCUCAAAUUCACCCCACGCAGCUUCGUUCUUCCACCAUGCAAAAACGACAUGCUUGUCUUUCCACCAAAGCUAAAAAUUACCUUAUCACAGAACCACAAACCUUCACUCAAGCCAAACCAUACGCUGAAUGGUGUGAUUCAAUGCAAAGUGAAAUUAAUGCCUUGCUUCAGAAUCACACAUGGGUUCUUGUUCCUUGACCUCCAAUUGCCAAUAUCAUUGGUAGUAAAUGGGUUUAUUGAAUUAAAAGGAAAACUAAUGGGAAGAUAGAUCGAUUUAAGGCUCGGCUCGUUGCGAAGGGUUACUUGCAGCAGCCUGGUAUUGACUACACUGAGACCUUUAGUCCUAUGGUUAAAGCUACUACAAUUUGGACUAUUUUAUCAAUUGCUACUUCUUCACAUUGGUCAAUCCGCCAACUUGAUAUCUCAAAUGCGUUUUUACAUGGUUUUAUUGAUUCAGAUAUUUAUAUGGAGUAGCUCAUUGGCUUUCAAGACUCUUCACAUCCAAACUAUGUGUGUAAGUUCUCUAAGUCGUUGUAUGGUCUCAAACAGGCCCCUAGGGACUGGUUUCACAGACUCACUUCCUUUCUGUAGGACCUUGGUUUUCAAGCUUCAAAGGCUAAUUCUUCUUUUUUUAUUCUUCAUCAAGGUGCUCUUAAAUUCUAUGUUCUAAUUUAUGUGGAUGAUAUCGUCCUUACUUGCUCUGAUUCUACAAAACUGGAUUGGUUUUUAAGUAAGAUCAAAUCAACCUUUCCAGUUCGAGACCUUGGAUCCCUUCAUUUCUUCUUGGGUAUUGAGGCACAAUUUUCGGCUGAUGGUCUUCUCAUCACCCAACAAAAGUACAUUACUGAUUUGGUGGCCAAUUCUAACAUGUCUGACUGCAAGCCUUGUUAUACACCUAUGUCGACCAGCCCUCCACUUUCCAAACUCUUUAGUGAUCCUUCAUAAAAUGCAGAGCAAUAUCGCCAAGUGGUUGGAUCCUUGCAAUACAUUACUCUGACUAGACCUGAUAUCUCAUUCUCGGUCAAUACAUUAUCUCAAUUUAUGCAUCAGCCCACUCAAGAGCAUUGGACAAUAGCUAAGAGGCUGUUGCGUUAUCUUAAGGCUACUGUUGGUUUCGGUUUGUUUUUCUCCAAGCAUUCCACUCUUGAUUUGCAAUGCUUCACUGACAGUGAUUGGGGUGGUUGCCCUAAUGAUCGUUGAUCAACAAAUGGUUAUGCAGUCUAUCUAGGCAAAAAUCUCAUUUCAUGGACUUCGAAGAAAUAACCAACCAUUGCCCGGUCUUCCACCGAGAGUGAAUAUCGUGCUCUUGCUAACUCUACUGCUGAAAUUAUGUGGCUUCGAUCACUUCUCUCUUAACUUGGCUUCUCUUCCUCAAAUCCAACUACAUUGUGGUGUGAUAAUGUGGGAGCUAUUUAUCUAUGUUCGAAUCCUAUCUUUCAUGCCCGAACAAAACAUAUCAAACUUGGCUAUCAUUUCAUUUAAGAACAAGUCCAACAACAAAUCAUUCAGGUUCGUUUUAUUUCUUCAGAUGACUAGAUUGCUGAUAUUCUUACCAAACCACUUGGUCAGCGUCUAUUUGUUAAGCAUCGAGACAAGCUUCAACUUUGUUCUUCUCCACCUUCAGCUUGACGGGGGGUGUUAGAGCAACAACCAGAUAUAGUUUGUUUUAUUUGUAUCUAUCUUAUUGUUGUAACUAUCAUCCUUUAAUCAUGUAAGUAGUUAGCUGAUUUUAUGCUAUUUCAAACUCUAUAAUUCAGCUAUAUAAGCUGCUCUUGUAUUCAUUAUUAACACAACAAUAUAUUACAAACAUUCAUUCUCAUAUUAUCAUUAAAAUAGCAAAUUGUAAACAUGCAAAGGAAUCAUGGGAUAUUCUUCAAGUCACUCAUGAAGGUACAUCUACUGUAAGGAUUUUAAAAUUGCAAAUGCUUACUACUAAGUUUGAGAAUAUUAAGGUGCAUGAAAAUCAAACUUUUUCUUCCUUUUAUUGUAAAUUAAGUGAUAUUGUAAAUUCUUCAUUCAACCUUGGAGAACCUAUUCCUAAUUCUAAGGUAGAAAAUAUUGAGAUCCCUUCUAAAGAGAUUUAGACCUAAAGUAGCUGCCAUAGAGGAGAGUAAGGACAUCGAUUCCAUGAGAGUUGAUGAACUUGUAAGCUCUAUUCAAACAUACGAGAUGACCUUACCUAGUUCCGAAAAGCCUAAAGACUCUACUUUUAAGGCUUUUGAGGAUGAGGUAAACGAUAAUGAAAUGUCAUAUGAUAUAACGAGUGAUGAAUUGACUCAUAUGGCUAGAAGGAUUAAAAGGGUCAUCAAAUUCAAUAAAAGGUUCUAAAAGAACCAAGAAUCUGGAAAAGGAAAAAAACCUAAUGAACAAUCAUCCAAUGGGAAAAGAAAAGGUUCCUCCAAAGGUAAGAAUGUUGAAUGCAUUAACUAUGGAGGUUUGGGACAUUAUGCUCAAGAUUGUCCUAGCCCCAAAGACGCCAAAAAGUCUAUGCAAGGAAAAUGGAGUGAUACUAAUUUUGAAGAGAGUGGUUCCACAACUUUUAAAAUGUAAGGUACGAUCCCAAUGAUUUGUUAGCUUUUAUUGCAUCUGUUGAAUCUAUGCAUGAUAGUGAUUGUAAUAGUGAUAAUGAUGAUGAUGAGUUUACUAAUGAACAAAGGGUUGAAUUCUUGAGUAAUCUUGUUGUUGAGCAUGAAAGACUAAUAAAGAGUUGUAUGAAAAAUAAUGUUGUUUUGAAGCUCAUAAAAAUAAGAUUGAUGUGCUUAAUGCUAAAAAGACUAAUCUACUUGAGAAAGUUAGAUUAAAUAAUAUAAAAGCGUAUAAGUUUCCAACUAAUUUAAUUUUUUUCCUUAUUUCAAUGGAAAAAUCAAACACUAGAAGUUUUUUUUUUUUAUCAUUUUUUCUUUCUUCAAUUUUUUUUUUUUCUAAGAACCAAACAUAAAAUUAUAUAUAUAUAUAUAUAUAUAUAUAUAUAUAUAUAAACACAAACAGACCCAUUUCAAGAGGAUAGAUCGUCUCAAGCCUCUUGAUUACAGAAUAUAUGUGUCAUGCCAAAGACCCCCUCCAAGGACGUGACUAUCAUUUCAAACCUCAAGUUUGAAGAUUCAAAGUGCAAAUGACUCAAAACAAUUAUCUUGUAACUGUAAGAUCACUAAUUACCAAUUCUUAUUUAGAGUAGUAAAAUAUAUUGUAAUCCUCAAAAUUUAACUUAAAAAAACUAACACAUCAAUCACUUUGCUAUUGUCCUAACAACUUCAAACCGAAAUGGUUCAAACAGUAAUUAAUUUCUAACAUUUAAACAUUGUCCAAAGAUAAAGUUUAAACCAAUGGCCUAAUAAUGACAAAUUUCUAGCCUAAUUAUCACUCCUCGCUUGAAUUGAGAGUAUUUGAAAAAAAAUUAUCAAUGGAUGAGAGUGAAAUUAACUCAUAAAAUUAUUGUUCCCAUAAAUAUUUUUAUAUGUUUAACUACAACUCAGUUGCAAUUAGUAUAGAAGGUUUUUCUAAGUUGAGUGGUUAUGCCUCAUGCAAGGUUCUAUUUAUCUAAAUUAUAAAAUUUGAGUCCUAAAAGUUGGUCAAGAUAGACAAACUCCUAUGACACCAAGCCCUUUGUAUAUUUUCUCCCUUGUUCUAAUUUUUUUUAUCUAGUCAAGUGUUUUGAUUGACUAUAGAUGAGAGGAGUUCAAGUUUAAUAUUCUACUAGGUUUGCUUCGUCAGUGUUUAUACAAGAGAGAGCUCUUCUUUUCUCUACACUCACUACAUAAAAAUGCGUACCUUUCUAUAGAGGUGUAUAGGUACAGACACAAACAACUCUCUUUCUUUGUCUCUCUCUCCACGUCUUGAGUAAGACUUUGGAUUUUGGAUGUUAGGUGUAUGCUCAUGUAACAUUCACUACCAUGGGAUUCUUUUUUCACUACGUCAUAAGGGUAUCAUGAGAGUACUAAGAUAUGCCUAGAUCUAGGUCUUUCACUAUUUGUUAAUAUGUUUUUGAGGUUCUACUAUUAUUAUUACUAUUGAGUGUAUUAUGUUUAUAUUUCAACAUUAGCUUUAAAGCACAGGUUGUAUCAUUUUUUUUUCAAGAAAACAACUUUAACUCCCCAUUGGAUCAUUUUUUAAAUGAAUUUGAAGGUGAUAUCAAAAUACUCUACUCAUCUUAAGCUCUUUUUAUGUAAUAUUUUAUCAACAUUUUAGGUAAAAUUAAUAAAUAAAAAAAUAUGGUUUUUUUUUUCUCUUGCUUUAUAAGUAUCCAUCUUAGGAAAUAGUGUUUUUCUAACAUGAACUUCAAGACACCAAAACUAGAAAAUAAGUAGACUAAUGGAAUCCCCGGACCAAAAAGAGGAGAUUGAUUGCAAUUGGGAGGCCUACAACAAUCAGGAAAGCAUCGCAUGGAACCCACAUACCAAGAAGGCAUAACAACGUGGAUUGCUAUAUAUAGGGCAUGCGUUAGCCAUGCUUGUGUGCACAACCAAUGUGUGAUAGUGCUGUAGUAUGUCCUUUCUUGACACCAACUGCAAGUGAUAUAUCCCCAGUUUUUCUUUGUAUUCGAAGAUUUUUUUUUCAAUUUUUGUGUAGCCCACCUUGUAUUUUAAAAGUAAAAAAGUACACUUUUUAUUUUUAUAGUAAGUGGGAAAGCAUUUAGGGUUUAUUGACCAUGUUGUUUGGACAAAAAUGUUUCAAAAUAUUUUUUUUUAUGUGAUGACCUCUCAUAUCUUUCCGUGAUUACUUAGAUUUUUUUUUUUUAUUAAUUUAUUAAUUAUUAAAUUUGUGUUUCAACAAAAAAAAAAAAAAAAAAAAAAUCACAAGAAAAUUGUUGUCUAAGGUGGUGUUUGGUUUUCGUCUGAAUAGAAAAAACCAAAAUAUUUGAUUUUUUUUAUUCAGUUAAAAGUAACCUAUUGAUAUCAACUAAUAUGAUUAAAGUGGACUUAUUACUAAUAAGUUACACAAUUCUCCAUUGGUUGCCUGCUUCCACAAGUUUCACCAUGUUGGGCACUUCUGUUAACAAUGUACUAAUUUUUUUUAAUAUAUUCACAUUUAUCGGAAAACAUAUAUGAUUUGAGACUUUAUGAAAAUAACACAUGUAAUACAAGUUUAUUUAAUAUAAUUGGGCUCAUAUUACAAACAUUCCCUAUAUCAUUUUUUGAAAAUAAAUAUAUUUAGUCUCUAUCCUUUAUUUACAUUCAAGUUCACUCCUUUUGUUAAAUAUUUUUAGGUAUACUUGAUUUUGGGGAUAAGCAUGGGUAUGAAGGGUUCAAAAGCCCCUUUAUUUCUUUAACUAAGAGACUAAUUAAUUAGAUAAUUUUUUGUAUUAAUGGUUCACUUUACUACUACUUUUCAGGACAUUUGUCAUAAUUUAAUAUAUGGAUUUUUGUAUGAAAAGGUAAAUUUCUAGUUAAAACUUGUUUGUUAGCUUAAUUACUACUUCUUGUGUCUAGCCUUCGUACUGCACAUGUCAAAUGAUCGCGGUGCCCUAACCUUUGGCUUUGGGUCAUCACAUCAUUAGCUCACAUUUCCAUGAGAAGGGUUAUGAUAAAUUGACAAUGAUGUUUCAUUUUAACAUUCCUUCAAAUUUUUAGGUUGAUGUUUUUCUUGUUGCACUAAAUCUCAUCAACAAGAUAUAAAGUAAAUAUUUCUCAAAAGGUAUAGCAAACACAAAUUCACGAAGAAGACCUACCCUUUUGUCUUCAAAAGAGAUAUAAAUGCUUGCAUACAUGUUUUUACUUGCAAACACUAAUGCUAUGCAUGGAAAUCCAUAGCUCAGUUCCUUUCCUAAGAAGAUGAAUGGCUCACACCACUGGCCGAAAUAAGCAUUCAACAGCACUCGAGCCUUCAAGCCAAAUACAGUGUCAUAGACUGAUACAUUGCCUACUAUUGAUAUAACACCUAUCACUAGUAAUCUCCACCCUGCUACAUUUAAAUUGUGAACUUUUUUAAAGAGAUCCUAACUUAAAAUCCAUGUAGAUUCUCUUUAAUUUAGAGCAUGGAUUUAAUAAGUCUAACAGGCUCUGCCUCUUUUGUCAUUCUCUUUAGCUCCUGUUCAAACCUUUCCGUGACUGGCGGAGGCAGGCAUAUAGGUAUAACAUUCCCUUCUUCUCCUUUGCUGUUCCUGAACCGCAUACAGAAGCUAAUAUUAGAUAAAGCCCUAGCAAUCCCACCAUAGACUGGCUUUCCCCACCCGAAGUCGAUCUCUCCAAACCCGGCACGUGUGAGAUCUGAAAUAAGAUAGUUCCCCGGCUGCGUAAAUGAGGGACGGCCCUUGAUGACCAUAAGAUCUGCCACUGAUUUCACAUACUCUUGGCUCAUUUCCGCCUUGGCUUUCUUCAGUAACCUUAUCGCAUAUUCCAAUGGGUUUUUAC
rnacentral:lncRNA from 1 species